rnacentral:lncRNA from 1 species
UCGAUUUUCAUCAUACUUAACCCUCGUUUCAAAUAUAAUUAUGAUUUAUGAGAGACUCUUAUCACCUUGGAUCGUAAUGAAGUUUUAAGAGUUCAAGUUAAACCCAUAAUGAAAUUUUAGGAAUCACAAUAGUUUAACAUUGGAUGGCAGAGCCACAGAGGAAGAGUAGUGUACAUCAAUCACAUUAUCAUAGAUUGAUUACGUUUCCUGUUGGGUUAAUCGUGACCAACAUUACCAAUUUGGAUGGGGUGGGGAGGAGAGAUAUUUUGGAAAGGCAUUUUUAUUAACAAAAUAAAAAAAAAGAAGAGAGGGAGAAAAAGGCAACUGAUAUUUUUUGUCUUUCCCCAAACCCUAUUGUGUUAUGAAAACACAAAAAAGCCAAACACAACCAUCGCCCCUUUUCGUUUACUGAAAACUCACUACAAACAAACAAACAGCACCAUAAAACCCAAAAGCAAAUAUUUCUUCCAAAUCAACAUCCGCCGGCUACUAAACACUUUAAGCAUCUGCAACUUCCGGUGACUCUCCCGCCGCCAGUAGCAACUCUUCCUCUUCAAGUCCAACCUUUCUUUCUCCCAUCUCUCCUUCAUCCCCAAUGCUGUUCGCCUCUCCCAAUGACUUUAGUGCCAAGUGUGCUGCCUUCUGCCCUGAUAUCAUCAUCGCCCCGAACGUUGGCCCCUAUGAAUGGCACAGUUUAAGACUAAUAAAUAUGGGUAUAACGAAAUCUUUCGGUGGUAGCAUCUAAUGCAGAUAGCUACCGGAGUAAACAAGUUAGUAGUGAUAGACCCAGAUAAACUCUGAAAAGUGUAAACUCAUCUAAAUGCUGCUAUAUUUUACUGUAUCAUGAUUAUUAAACGGUCUAAAGCAAUAAUCUCUCUCUAGUUAAUUUGUUUACCAUUCUUGGAGCUCCAUCGAUCUCCGCAACCUCCAUGCCGGUGACAAUCAUGCCAGGAACGACCUCUCGAGUGAAUCGAACAAUGGCAUCCUCAGCAGUGUUCAUGUCAAGGGCCUUCAUUCCCGGGACACUAUCAAUCAUGCCGAUGCUCUUGAGGCGCUUGACUCCGGUAGCGCCAAAAGGUCCAUCGUGGCCACAAGAGCUCACAACCACCUUAGCCUCCAUCACAUUGGGGUCCAUGCAGGACUGCGUGUCAUGGUUCAUUGACACAAGAGCCCAGUUGGUGACAACACCGCCAACUCUGCCGCCCUUGACAAUCAAAUCCUCUGCCGCCACGGCGUUGAACAGCUUCACGUUCGGCCGGGCCAAGAGCUUGCUCAUGAUCGUCGACGUGAACAGAGCCGCGUGCUUUAUCACGACAUAGUCGUCUUGCUCGUCAUACUCCACACCCACCUCAUCCAAGAACAAAUGAGCUGGCUUACGAACCACCUAUCAAACAUUAAAUUUAACCAACAUCAAUCAGAUGAACAAGAUCAGAAUAUUUGUCUGCGAUGAAAAUUAAUCUAAUUUUUUAGGGGAUCACAAGAUCUGUAAACUAUUUCCCCUCAAAUUAAUGAUUAUGAUAUUAGUUUCUGGGUUUCUUUAUUUCUGAUCUCUAUUAAAAAGAAAUGAUUUUUUUUAGUCCAAAUACGGCAUGCAUGAAAGCUGAUUGGGUGAUUUUCAAAAUUUUGGUAUUUUCAAGAAAAGAACAAAACAUAAAAUAAAAACAGAGCAUCCAUUCAAAUUUGGAAAGUGAACUUGUUACCAUAGCAGAGAAGAGUUGGCCGCCGAGCCAUGCACCGCCACCGGGGCUGACGGAUUGUUCGAUGAUGGCAAUACGAAUAUUGGGGUUUUUGCUGAGUUCGUAAGCGCAAGAGAGGCCGGCGGAGCCAGCGCCGACGAUGACAACGUCAGUAUCAGCGUAGGUGAUCAUAUCGGUCAUGUAUCGACGGGUCAUCUCUCGAGAGACAAUAGAUUCUCUGAUAGGGUUGAAUUUGAAUUGGUUUAAAUCGUAGGGAGGCUGAGAGGCGGAGGCAGAGAUGGUGAGGGACGUGGCGGCGGUGGAUUUGAGGCGGAGAGAAGAAGGAGAGGCGAGAGGUGUGCCAUGGAAAGAGGAAUCAUGAAGUAAAGAAGGUUUUUGGAGCUUGGUGGUGAGAGUGGAGGCAAUGGAAGCCAUUUUUGAAGCAGAGGAAAACAGAGGAGAUUGUAGUUUGGUGUGGGGAAGAAGAGGGGAAGGAAGAAGGGUUUUAUAGAGGAUAUUGAAGAAUGUAACAAUAUCUUACACGCUUGCAUGUAUGAUGCAUACAUUACCUAUGCAUGUAUUUCAAACAUUGAUGCAUAUAAUCGAGAUUUUCAUUUAUCCAUGUAUUUCUCUUUUUACUUUUUUUAACAUAUGAUAUAUUAAACAUAGGUUUAGCAAUAAGUAACUAAAAUUAGUGUUAUUGUAAUAAAAUUACAUUAAUUUUGAUCAUAUUUACUUACACAUUUUACAAAUGUCUUAUCCAAAUAGUUCACUUUAUGUUGUCUUCUUACUAUUGCUCUUAUUAUCAAGGGUCAACAUAUUUAUAAUUCUCUUCUUCUAAUAGUAACACCAUAAUAUCCCCUAAUGAGUUGCAUGUAAUUUCAAAUGCAUUUAGAGAUUGGUCAUCUUAUCUCUAUAAUUAGAUUGCAUUACAAAUUUGUUUGUGAGGACACCAUUUUUUCUACAAUUACAGAAUAAAUGUAAACAACAAACCUAAUUAAAUGAGACACCCUUUUCAAAUUCUCGUUUGAUUGGUUACAUUUUCCGAGUGUAUAGUCACUCUAAUUUUAUACUGUUGCAACCAAUCCAAAACCAAAUCAAAUUAAUUGACUUUAUUAAAUAGAGAACCAAAGAUGCCCAAUAGAAGAUAGAAUCUUUUUUUUUUUUUUUUUUUUUUUUUGGGUUUCUAACCAAUGGAGUCUUCUUUUCUUUCAACUUUUACUUUGAAUGGGUUACCUUUUUUUACCAUUUUUAUAGAUAAUUAUGAAAAAAGAAGUAUCCAUUGGCAUAAUAUUUGAGUUUAUUAUCACUACAGUUUUCAAGCGAUACGCUUUCUAUCCAAAUUGAAAUGGUUGGAUUUUGAUUGAUUUCUUGAUAAAAGUUCAAACCAAAAGAAUAAACUUUUUUAUUAUCUCUAAAUAAUAAAAAAAAAAAAACCCCAAUCAAAACAAGAAAUGAACUUGAUUGAAUUUGAAUUUGUUUUGUUUUUAUUUUCUUGAACUCGAGUGUAAGGAGUAUCCAAAAAUUAGGGUAAGAAAAGUUCAAAUAUUUGUUAAGUUGGGAAGAGAGAAAAUAUCUGGAAGGGGACACGUGGGAAGAAGAUAGGAAAUGAAGGGCUGAGAAUGAGGUGAUGGUGUUGGACACGCGGCAUCCAUGGCAGCCAUUUGUUAUUUCUUUUCUUUUUCUUUUGCCAAAAUGAGAUUUUUUUUUUUCUUUUUCCCAAUAAUAUGAUAUGUUUGUUGAUUUGCAAAAUAUGGAUUUGUGAUUGUGAAUCAUGAUAUGUCCGUUUCUUUCGUCAAGAUAUUUCACAUAAUCUUGUAAAAGAAAGAGAUGUUUAUAUAUAGGCCACUCAUUUUGCUUUUUACUCUUUAAACCAUUGCUACACAUUUUAAUGCGUCUUUUCAAAUAAUAAUAUUUAUGUUUAUUAAUCAUUGAUAUUUUUUUGUAUCUACUUUAAACAAGAUUAAGUAUAGAGAAAAUACAUUUACAUAAGGAAAUAUUUACAAAUUAGGAUCUAAAUGUAUUCUAUUUCCCUAAUUUAAACAACUAUAUAAUUUACGAUCACACUCUUUCUCAAACUCAAGGCGGUAAUGUAGCAAUCAACUUGAGUUUGUUAACCAAUUGAAGAAAAUGGCUAGAAGCCAAAGCUUUAAUGAAGAUAUCAACUGGUUGUUCAGUGUCGAAAUGGAGUGUAAGAGAAGAUUGGUGCUUCGAAGAUUAUGACAAACAAAAUGAUAAUCGUUUUUAAUAUGGUGGGUACUCUCGUGGAAGACAUCAUUGUGAACAAUAUGCAUGGUAUUAUAAUUAUGUCUUUAUACCCUUCUCUCGGCUCAAGCCUUUACCACACUCUUUUGUCAAGUUGCAGUUGUGCAGAGAAAUCUCAACGCACUUAGUAGUUACUAUGAAUUUCACUACGCAUAAUGUGUCUUCCAAUGCUAGAUCACAUAAAACGCAAAGGGUAUUCUAUACCAAAUCACAUAGUAGGUAUGAGAGACAUUUCAUACUAGAUCACACAACAAGUAUGAGUCAUCCUAUUCAAUAUCACACAAUAUGAAUAGGGCAUUAUACUCCAGAUCACACACUAGAAAUAGGGCAUCUCAUCUUAGAUCACACAGCAAGGACAAAACAUUCUAUCGCAUAGGGUACAAAAAUUAUCUUUUUCUAGGAAACAUUGAUUUCUCAUUUUCAUGUAAUACUAGCAUCAUCAAUAGCACAUGCCACAUAGUUUAACGUAAUUGCCUUAAAGGGACUUAAAGAGAUUGUUUUCAAGCAUUUCUUUUCAUUUGAAGGUUAUUCGAUAAGAUACUUUAUUAUGUACUCAAUCACCUUUUAUUAGUUUCAUAAUGAACCAAAUUCAUACAUAAGUCACACAUGUUUAUGGGAGUUGAAAAAGUAUAAGGAAAUCCAUGUAAACAAAUUUGUAAUAACGAUAGUUUUAAGGGUUCAAACAUAUUAGAAAUCCCUUUAUAUAUUUGAAAACAUUUGCAAGGGAGGAAAACCACUCACUGCUGCAGUGAGCUAGCUCUUCCUUCUAGCUUCCUUGACCAAGAGUUCUCCUGUGCUUUUCAGAUUCCUUGAAGGAAUGAGUUUUUCCUGCACCUUGAGACUUUGGUUAUCCUCCCCGUUCUCUCUUAAGAAACUUAAGGUAAAAACGUCUUCAGUUCGGUCUAAAAUCCUCAAUUUAUAUGUCUCUCUGGUGAAUUUUUUCAUGUCGAAAUGAUUACGCUUUACCGACGGUGAGGAGUGGCCUAAUCUCGAAAUGCCAUGUAUCUCUGUCCAAUCCUUAUCCUGAUCUAGAUUGGGUGGCGAGUCCAAUCAAUCAUCGACCUACUAACAUUAGGGUCACAUCACUGUUUCUUGAUGAGGUAGGUCAGAAUUGUCCAACUGUUCGACGCAUAACCUUCUUUGCAUGGGGACUUUCUAUUGCAUGAUCCUUUAGCGAGGCAUGGUUUACUAUCAGAAGUCUCUUUGCAAAACAUUCUUACCGCAAGGGAUUCCUUGUAUUGGGGGUACGCAAUCAGGGCCUUACACGCGAUUAGACAUUUUCCUUUAAAACACUAACCUUAUCUUCUUGGAGUGCUCAAUUCUUUAUCGCUUGACUCUCUUCUCGAAAAACAAUAGAACAUUUACUUUACCUCAUACGGUUGUCUAGUCAUCUCAUACAAACAUCCAUCCUUUCAAUAGAACACCUACUUCAUCGCAACAACACUUAGGUGCAAACACUUCUCCUCGAGUUACUACAUAGGACAUCUAGUUCUUUGCGUUAAAUGCAUGUUUCUUCUUUCCUAGCUAAUCAUCGCCUUGCUUCAAGGCAAUAGUUACUAUAAGUAUCUCUCGUUGUGUCACCUCUCCUUAAAGGCACCCUUCAUCGCAUAAUGCUUUUUACUUACAUUUAACUAAAAUGACUCUUAUUAACAGGGCUCCUCUUCAACAUGACUCACUUUCUCCAGAUUAGAGCCUCAAGUGGACUAUUGAGGUACUCUCAUAUCCGUAAGGAUCCAUGGAAGUCAUGAUAGUUAUAAAGUAGCAUUAGCAGAAGCCCAAUAUUAUGAUUUAGUGCUGGAAAAGAAGACAACAUUUUGCUUUUUACCCUACCAUGAUAUUAUGGGAUUACUUAAAUAGAAGGAAUAAAUGAUGGUGGAGUGUCGAUCAUUAGGAUCAUCAACCCAAUCAACAUCAAAGUACCCAGAUAACACCAGAGGUGUCGAGAAGAGAAAUGAAAUCUAUGUCUCAAAGUACCUUUGAGGUAGUGAAAAAUGUUCCAUCAACUUACUAACAAUGUGCACAACAUAUGCAACGUUAGGACGAAUCACUAUCAGAUAAAUGAGGAUGCCAAUAAGUUGCCUCUAAAGAUUGAUAUCAUCAAGAGGAAUACCCUCUUACGGUGUCAAGUGGACAUUGGGAUCAAGAAGUGUUGGUGUCUUGAUGGAGUAAAUGAUACGGAGCAGGCUAAUAGAUCAGAGACAUUUGGCUUGAGAAAACAAGUAACCAUCAAGACAUGUUGAUACCUCAAAAACAAGAAAGUAAUUAAGAGAGUUUAAGUCUUUCAUUUGAAUAACUAAGAUCAUGAUAUCUACCGUUGCAACACUAAGAUAGCCCGAGGAUCAUCACCACUGAUAAUCUUGUCCAAUACCAUGAAGAAAAAUUAGAGAAUUUAUGACGGAAGAGUUUACAAGUUUUUUUUUACAAAAUGUAGUUCCAAAUUAUUGUAUGAAUAAGUGCUUGCGAAAAGAACUUCUAAUUUUUUGGAGGGAAAGCCGUUUUCUUCAAAUAAGAUGUCUUGAAACUUGUGGUUUGUUAACAACAAACAUAUUAUAUUUACAUAGUAAAGUUUUUAAAAGGUUAUUAAAUAAAAUUGUUAUUGAACAUGAAUGAAUUGCUUAUUUCAUAAUAGAAAACCAUAAAUCUAAUAAACUAAGAUCUAUGGUUAUGAGUACGAGUACUUGAACUUUAUGUAAUAAUGUAAGAAACUCCCAAUGAAGUGAGAACUAUGUUGGGUGUUGGCCUCAUCUUCUAACGGGAGAAGUCGUCCAGAAAUGGAUUGUGAAAUUUGUGAUGGAGACAACUCCCAAUGAGCCAAAGGAUGCCAUUGGGAACUCGUCCCAACCCUCGACGACAUUCAUUAAUAAGGCGAAGAUGAUAUGAACUGAUUUUGGCUUGAUCCAGGUAGGUCCAAAAUGCUAGAUAUUUAUUAAUUGAUUAACUAGUUUCUUGAUUGAGUCUAAUGAGUACUGUGUAACUAAUAGUAAUAGUAAUGAACCAAUCCUAUAGAUUAAAAUCAAGUAGGUUUUGCAUGAAAAUCCCAUAAUUUUAUAACAUUAUCAAAAGCUUUGAGUUGAAAAUGGAUAGUAGGAAUAGAUAUGUUAUCAAUCCAAGUGAUAAUUUGGUGAUUCUUACUGUCUCAAUCUUUUCGUCAUUUAACAAACAUACUAUCAUCUUUCUUGUCCAAUGUAGUUUGUUUAGCAACAUCACCAAUGAAAAUUUUCCGUAGUCUAUGUUCAAUUAAAAAAAAUUCGUUUGAUGGGUUCAUGCAUUUAAGAUAAUUGGUCCCAUCAACAACAGUACUAAUAGAACAAAAAAUGUGAUUUUUUUCAUUAAGGACUGAACAUAAAUUAACCACCAAAAUACACAACAAGAUUGAAAACAAACAAAUCUAAGUUAAAUCACAACGAGCAGAGACUAAAGUGCCAAUGAUCAGAAUAGGUGCAGGACCAGUUAGAAGCUGGAAUGAGUAGACGUAGAAUAUGUUUAGAUAGUUAUGAUAUAUUAUUUAAUUUAAACACCAGGUGUUUGUGAUUAUAUUUAUUUUUUCACUGAAAAGACACCAUCAUAUGAUUGGAGAUAUUUUCUUUUCACUUAUAUACAAUCAAUUAAUGAAUGAAAAAUAUGGUGUUAAUUAACAAGGUAUUAGUUGUGAAGUAUUAAAUAAUGGUAAAAAUUGAAACAAAUUUGUUUUGUAUUUUGGUAGAAGAGAUAUUAUUAAAUUGAGAAGGGGUAUAUCUGCUAUCACAGUCAUGAAAAAGAGAGAAAUUAAAGUGGCGAUGGGUAGCUACAUCACAUCUCAACUUGCUCCCCUCCAUCCACUAUUUUUCGUCUUCUUUCUUCUUCGACGUGAGGAUGAACUAUCAUUGGAUUUAGAGGUGGUCCAUACAACUUCAAGAUUUUUUUGGUACCAAAAUCACUUUAUAAAUUAUAGUCUAAACCAUGUUACUCUACUUUUUUUUUUUUUUCUAACAUCUCCCUCCUUUCAACAAUAUUUUUAUUGUAUCUUACAAAAAUAUAGAAGAAUAAAAUAUCACUAAUCUACUUACAAUAUAAAUAUAAUAGACAAUAGAUAUGUAACGAAAUAUUUAUGGAGAAUUAUUGUCAAUUGCAAACGUUGUGAAAAUAUUUAGAAAGUUUAGCAAGAUCUAUAUGUGAGAUUUUUCUAUAUUUUUUAAGUAUUUUUAUUUAUUUUGCUAUAUUUGAAAUGAAUACAAGGUUUAUUUAGUGAUUUAAAUUAAAUUUUUUUAUUUUUAUAGUUUUUCUAGAAAUGUUCAACCAUAUAGACUAAAUUUAUGUAAAAUUAGCACUUUCAUAUUUUUGUAGAUAUCAACAUUUUAAUCCUUCAUUUUAAGCAUGAGAUUUAACUAAUCAUGUAUCUAUAUUUUAUUAUUUUAUGUUCUAUUUUAGAUUUGUACUCUCUUCUGCAUUUUCAAUAAAUCAUAAAUUAGUCCUAGUUUACUAUAGUAAAGCUAAUUUUUUUAAAAAAUAAUAUAGCAAAAAAAAAUUCUCUAACCAAUGCAAAAAAAUCCAAAAUAUCUAGCUUACUUCUCUCAACCAUGAUCAUUGUCAAUACCUAAUAGACAUUGAUAGUCUAUUAUUACUAUUUAUGAUAGUCUAUUACUCUAGAGUGUCUAUAACUGAAUAGUUGGUUGUUAAUAAGAAAGUUGAUGAUGAUUGUUCUUAAUCUUAUGCUCCUUAAUUUGGUUUUAAGGAAUUAGUUGUCAUUUAAUAUUUAUUGAAAAUAUAUAUUGUUAUUGGGAGAGAGCAAUUUUGAAAGUAUUCUCUAGACUUAAGCAUAUUAAUUUCUUCUUACUCGAAAAGAUAAAAGAAAACAUGUGUAUUUGAAUUAUCUUAAAAACAUUAAGAUCUAGGGAUUAAAAGAAUGCAAGAGCUUGCAUUGAUGGUGGUACACAUGUGUUCCCUACACCUCAAAAUCAACCAUCAUCUCAAGUAGCUCAAAAGGAAAUUAAAGGUCGAAGCUAUAGAGUAGCAAGAAGGAGCUGAGUAUUAAAUCAUUUUGGGUUGUAUAUAUACAUAAUAGAAAUCACUCCAACUCAAUUCAGAAGACGUUUGAAACCAAGAAUUUCUAACCUAAAUUUCAUUAGCUUAUUUGACAUCAUUAGUCCGCCAUCUAAAGUCAUGGCUUAUUCAUCUAUAAAUAUAAGCUACCUACAACUUUUGAGUUGUAUAACAAAAUUUUAAGAGAUUAAGGGAUCAAGUUUAGAGAUUAAAAUUGAAUAUUUUUUAAAGUUUAGAGACCAAACUAAAAUAAGAUUCAAAGUUCAAUAGGGGAAUAUCAAAUUUAAACCAAACUAAAUACGUUUUUUACAUACUGAUUUGUAUUUAUUUUUUAAAUAACCAAAACAUUUUCAUAGUGGGUUUGAUGUAAACCAAAUUGGAGAGUUUUACUAAUGUUUAAAAGUUGUUAAUAUAAGAAGAAAAGUACUCUAUUUAUAGCAAACUGUUAAAUGAAAAUUUUGAGUAAACAAGUAUUUACUAUUAUUUUAUUCAACACAUACAUUUCCACAUUGCUAAGAAGUCUCCUUUAUAAACUCAUAGAUCCGCUCAUGGGUUUGGGCCCUAAAGACACUCAAGUUUUGGAAGGAGUGAGUAGAUAGUUAAAUGUAGAUAUGCUUAUAUCUCCACGUGCACCACCACUGCCGUCUGUCGAGUGAGGCGAGGAGGAAUAAAAUAAUAAUAUAUAUAAUUUUUGGUAAAUUAAACACUUUCCAAAGUCGAAAUAAUAUCCAAAUUAAAUGGUAUUUAUCAAUCAAUUUUCUUUUGUGUUUUAUAACCAUUGGUUGCCUCCACACUCACUAUAUAUAUCAAUCUAAUUCUUCUCUUCAAUAUACAGAAAUUAUAUAUAUUAAUGAUGAAUUGGACUCUCUUGAAUUCAAUAGAACUUGGCACCUAGUUGACUUACCUGACCUUAGCUGCAAAGCAAUAGACUGUAAAUGGAUUUUAAGGAAGAAACUCAAACCUGAUAGAUCAAUAUAUAAGUAUAAGGCUAGACUAGUAGCAAAAGGUUUUAGGCAGAGGAAAAACAUAGAUUUCUUUGACACCUUCUCUCCAACCACUGAUUUCUAUAGUUUUCAUUAACAAUCUCUUAAUACAUCAAAUGGAUGUUAAAAACUGCUUUCCCUAAAUGAUGAUUUAGAAGAAGAGAUUUAUAUGGAACAACCUUAAGAUUUCAUAGUUCACCGUUAAGAAUCUAAAGUUUAUAAAUUAGAUAAAUCCUUCUAUGGCCUAAAACAAGCUCCUACGCAAUGACACGAAAAGUUUGACAACUUAAUCAUUUCCAAAGGAUUCAAAAAAAUGAGAGUGACAAAUGUAUUUACUAUACGACUGAAGAUAGAUUAUGCACUAUCAUAUACUUAUACGUAGAUGACAUGUUAAUAUUUGGAUCAAACCUACACGUCAUAAAUUAUGUAAAAUCAAUGUUGAGCACAAACUUUGACAUGAAAGACUUAUAAGAAGAUAAUGUGAUCCUAGACAUCAAAAUUACCAUAACUAAAAAUGAAAUGUUCUUAGAUCAAUCUUAUUACAUAAAAAAGAUCCUAAAGAAGUACAAAUACUUCGAAAGCAAACCAGCUUGUACACCCUAUGACUCUAGUGUUAAAUUGUUCAAAAACACUGCUGGCAGUGUUAACCUAUCAGAGUACGCUAGUAUCAUAGGUAGUUUGAGGUAUGCUGUUGAUUGCACUAGACCAUACGUAACUUACGCUGUAGGAUUACUAUGUAGGUUUACCAGCAAAUCUAGUCUAGAACAUUGGAAUGCUAUAGAAAGAGUAAUGAGAUAUCUUAAGAAAAUACAAAAUAUAAGAUUACAUUAUCAAAAGUUUCCCGCUAUACUUGAAGGUUACAACAAUGUUGAUUGAAACUUUCUCUUAGAUGACUCAAAGGGUACAAGUGGCUAUAUUUUUAAUAUAGCAGGAGAAACUGUUGCUUGAAAAUCCAAGAAACAAACAAUAUUAGCCUAGUCAACGAUAAAGUUAGAGAUGAUAGAACUAGCUACUGCUAGUGAAGGAGCAAACUUGCUAUAAGAGAUUCCCACACGGGAAAGAUUGGUACCGGCAAUACUAAUCCAUUGUGAUAGUACUACAACUAUCGCAAAAGUUCAGAAUCAUUAUUAUAACAGUAAGAGACGACAUAUACGUCGUAAACACAUUAUCAUUAGAGAUUUUCUCACUACUGGUGCAGUGAUAAUAGAUUAUGUUCGAUCUGAUGACAACUUGGCUGAUUCUUUGACGAAAGGACUAGCAAGAGAGAAGGUCUUUAAAACGUCAGAAAGAAUGAGACUCAAAAUUUAUAGAAAAUUUAAUUACUUGUGAGGUAAACCCAACUUGAAAGACUGAUCCCAAGAAACAAGUUUAAUGGGUAAUAACUGAUCACAAGCAAUAUGAUGAAAAUCAUGCUAAAAUAUUAGAAGUUCCAUUCUUAUGAUUGAAUAAUUAGCAUGACAUCCUGAAGUGUAUGAGAAGGCUAAACUUUGUUCUUAAUGAAAUAUAUACUUGAUAUCAAGUAAGGUACCUAGCUACAUAAGUACUCUUGAUAGCUUCACCUUUGUGAAUGUGGAAGUGAGAGUUGCUUCCUUUGGAAUUUUGGACAAAUUCCUAGAACAUUCACUAAACCGGGUUAUACGUGCAAGGCCAUAAAUCACAAGCUAUUUUAGAACUUCACUCGAAUAAUGUUGUGUGGACAAUAGUAUUAGAAGUAAAGUUCAAAACUACAAGUUACUUUACAAUACUCUAAACUGUUGUCACUACUUAAAGGUUCAAGUCAUUAGACACCUUUACUUAAGCACAAUAUUAUAGAGAUAGACACUGAUCGAUGGAAACGUUUUAAAACAAUUUCAAGUGGGGGACUGAUAGUAUGAAUAUUUCAAGUGGAAAAUUGUUAAAUGAAAAUUUUGAGUAAGCAAAUAUUUAUUAUUAAUUUAUUCAACACAUGCAUUCCUGCUAGUAAUGUGGAUGUCUACUUUGUAAACUCAUAGAUCCAUUUAUGGGUUUAGACCCUAAGGGCACCCAAGUUUUGGAAGGGGUGAGGAGAUAGGAAAAUAUAGAUAUACUUAUAUCUCCACGUAUGCGCACCCCGCCAUUGUUGGGUGUGGAGGAAUAAUAUAAUAAUAAUAUAUACUUUUUCUAAACUGUUUUCUUAUUAUAAACAUUUUUGGUAAAUUAAACACUUUCUAAAACUGAAACCGUAUUCAAAUUAAAUGGUAUUUAUCAAUCAAUUUUAUUUUGUGUUUUAUGAUCGUUGGUUGCCUCCAAAUUUACUAUAUAUAUGAGUCUCAUUCUUCUCUUCAAUAUACAGAAACGAUUUCUCUCCCAAAAAAUUUCUUCUGAGCAUAUGAGUGUUUAUCUGAGUGUUGUGAAUUCUGAUUAGUUUUGAUAUAAAACUAAUUGAAGAACGAUGUAUUUUAUCAUGGGGACGUCGAGGCAAUCAAACUGUUUUGGACAAAGGAGCAGAGACGCAAAACGUCUUAAAGAGAGCGAGAUUCGCGACUCAACCAUUUUCUCAAAAGUUUUUGUUUUGUAGUUUGCGUUUUGACCAAGCGUUUGACCACUAGGCGUUUUGAUCAAUUGGCGAGAUAGUCAGUAAGCGAGAUAAGUUGAGGAGGUGAUAACUAGGCGACUUGGUCAGACGAGAUACCAGUACAUUACACGAGAUACAAGGCAAAGAAGCACGCAUUUUGUCUAGACAUUUUGCCUAGGCGUUAAGACUUCUCAUUGCAUCACUCCUUCGAGUCAAAAAGCAACAACACAAACUAAUCCUAAUCCUAAUUAAUAAAAGAAACUAAUCUUUAAUCCUAAUAAAUAAAAGAAACUAAGCCUAAUCCUAAUAGAUUAAGGAUUUUAUCAUAAUAUCCUAUUCCUACUACAUCAUUCUAUAAAAAAAAAAACUCGUCCUUAAGUUUUAAAAUGAAAAUGAAUGUGAAAAUAAUAAGUAAACUAGUCGAAUAAUAUCCCAAUUUUGUGAUACCUAACAAUCAAUUCUAGAACUAAUACGAUAAAGAAGAACUCCAUUGUCAAAGAAUAUGCAGAUUUAUCAAAAAAAUAAACUAUCACUCAUUUUGUAACUGUGAUGAAAGUUCAAUUGUGGUUGAGUUUUUAAUUCUUCAAUAGGUUUCAAUUUGGGUCAAAUAGAUUAUAGUAAGAGAUAACGCGUAAAUAGCAAAAUAGUAAAUAACAAACUAAAAUGUAGCAAAUUUAAGAAAUAUUAAGAUUUAUAUCAAAAACGCCGGUUGCUGAUUUUUUUUUUUUUACUUUUUUAUACCCAAUUAUACUCUUUUAUAUAAGACAGUUUAUUUCUCACAUAUAUACAAUGUAUUUGAAUAGAUCAAAAAAUGAGACAGAAGAUCACAGAUUCACUAGCACAAUGUAUUUGUUAACAACAUUCAACUUUGGUAAGUCUUAACUAAAUAUGAUAUUUUAUUGCUGAAGAAGAUUGCACUAACAUCUCUUAAAAAAUAUGGCUGUAAUUUCUUUUAGAUUUUCGGAUGCUUAGCAUUUAAAUCAAUCAAUUAACAAUUUAUUUCUAUAAUUCAUAAUAGAUAUAUUUAAUAACGAUUUGAAUUCAAAUUUUGGAUAAUACCCCUAAAAUAAUAGUAAAGAUAAAUUCAAUAAUUUGGAUUCUUUAUAUUUCAUACUAUUUAUCAAAAUUUUAUUAAAUAAUAUAUAAUACAUAUUUUUAAUAACAAUUUAAAUUCAGAUUUUAUACCAUCCGCUAAAAUUGUCAAUUUGAAUUUAAAUGUUACAUAAUAUCCCUAAAAUAUUGGCGAGGAAAAAUUCUUAAUAACAAUUUGAAUUUAAAAAUUAAAAUUAAAAUUGUUUAAUUUAAAAUUUAACAACUUAUAUUUAAAAAAAUAUAUAAAACAUUUAUUAAAUAAUACAUGAUACAUAUUUUUAAGGGGAAUUUUUAAAAUAGUAGAUUUUACAAAAUAUUUACAGCUAUAGAAAAUUAUAAUUCUAUCACUCAUAGUCAUUUACAAAAUUUUGUUAUAGCUCAUAAAUAUUUUAAUUUAUUUUGUUAUUUUAAAAAAUGCUUCUAUUUUUAAUAAUAGUUUGAAUUUUAAAAAAAUUAUUCGUGAUAAUUUCUAUUAUCAACUUAUUUUGGUUGAUUUUUAAUAACAAUUUAAAUUUAAAUUUUACAUCAACCCUCUAAAAUAAUGUAAAAAAUGAAUACACCAUUUUUAGGAUUUUUAUAUUCCAAACAAUUUAAUAAUAUUUUAAAUUCAAAUUUUAGAUCCCAAAAUAAUGCCAAUUACGAUUGUCCAUUUAUUUUUACCAAUUUGAUAACAACUUCAAUUUUCUUAAUUUAACCAAAUCAAUUUAAUUUAUUUUUACCAAUUUGAUAAGAACUUCAAUUUUCUUAAUUUAACCAAAUUGAUUUAUUGGUUAAGUUGGUCAGGUUUGAUUGUGUUGAUUUUCUAUAGAGUUACAAUGUACUUAUACAUACUUUCUAGAUUAGUUUCACAAUAUUUGACAUAAUGUAUAGCAUAUGUUGCUCACAAAAUUACAAUGUAAUUUUAUGCUUUUAAAUAAUGUGAUAAACUAGUCGUUCUAUAUUACGAUCACAUGUUCAAAUAUUAAUAUUUAUUUGCUCCUAUAAUAAUGUACUUUUGCAAUUCAAAACAGUUACCAUUAUAAUAAUGUACUUUUAAUUAAUGCGAUAAACUAGUCGUUCUAUAUCACGAUCACACGUUCAAAUAUUAAUAUUUAUUUGCUCCUAUAACCAUGUACUUUUGCAAUCCAAAAAAGUUACCAUUAAGAUAAUUUGUUACAAAACCAACAAUAAGAACUAUUUCCUAAAUAUUGACAUUGAAUCAUAAUCAUGGUUGUUUAAUUAACCGAACUUUAUAAUAACCCAUAGAAUUAAGAUUUUCCAAACAUAGUAUAUGUUGAGUAUGAAUGAUGUUAUAAACAACAAACUUGGGACACAAACAAAAAGUAAAAUUUUGGUCAUCAAGAUAUAGUAUCAUUCCAUUGGGUAUAAGAUAAUCAGAUAUUUCAAAUAGAGUGUAUUUGAAUAGCUCAAAAAAAGAGACAGGAUAUUAAAAAUAGCACGAAAACAAUGUAUUUUGCAAACAACAUUCAAAUUUGGUAGACUUAACUAAAUCUGUUAUUUUGUUGCUCGACAAGAUUGCAGCAACCUCUCCUAUAAUAAUGACAAAUAUAUCUACCAGAUUUUGAGGUUUGUUAUAUUUUAAACCAUUUAUUAGUAAUAUCAGUAAUUAUUACAAUUUCUUAAAUGACCUUAAAUAUAUUUUUUCCUCUCCCUUGUUUCUUUACCAAUUCAUUAAGCAUUAUAUCUUGUAAGUUAAUCACUAAGGAUAGUUUAAUUUUAACAAAUCACCAAUCUUAAAGACAUUUAAGUUGAAAAAUAAAUACUUCCAAAAUAUGUGUUGUUAAUAACAAUUUGAAUUUAAAAUUUUAUCAACCUUAAAUUCGUGGUUGAUGUCCCAAAAUAAUGGAAAACAUAAAUUCAACAUUUUUGGAUUAUUUAUAUUUUAAAAUAUUUAUAAAAAUUUGAAUUUAAAUACCUCAACAAUACAUAUUGUUAAUAACAAUUUGAAUUUAAAAUUUUAUGAUCCCCUAAAAUCAUGCUAAUUGGUUGGUUUUUAUUUUAAAAAACUAUUUUAUCGUGCAAAUUGCAUUGAAUAACUAUGUUGAGACAUUGUGUUUUUAAAUUACGUUAAUAUUCAUGUUUAUCUUCGUUAGAUGUUUUCUUUUUUGUGUUACAGUUUUUGUCAAAAGCUUUCAAAAUGGCUUUUAUGUUUAGGACAGAAUUGUAAUUAUACUUCAUCUCCUUCUUUAGGUCUUAUAAAUUAGAGAAAAGAAAAGAAGUAGGACAAAUAAGAAGAGGGGGCUGCAAGCUAAAAAAACACAGUAGAGAGAGUUUUUUCUAGCAAAAAAGAUUGAUAGAGAAGAGUGCAGUGCGGCGAUUUUCGGUGUUCCAACAUAAAGAGAGACGUUGGUCGACCGAGAGGAAGACGUCAGAGGUUUAGCCAUUGGGUUUUGAGGCAGACAAAAGCUAACGAUUUUGUGGCUUUACAACGGCUACAACGUUUGUUUCGAUAGCUUCGCGAUGGGUUUAACGACUGGUUAACUAUGGUUUUCGAGCUGACAGAGGUUGGUUUAGUCGUGGGUUCUUCUUGGGGCAAUCGACGCAAGUGACAAACAUAGUGAGAGAGAGUUUUUGUGCAAACAAGAGAGGAGAAAAGUACAAUCAACAAAGAGGAAAACAUCACAGUUUCAACGUCAAUGGCGAGAUGAACAUCUCAAAGUCUUUGGUCGGAGGAGGCGGCAAGAUGAAAAUCCUAAAGUCUCCAGUCAGAGGAGCCAACAAGAAGAAAAUCCAAGUAUGAAAACUUUGAUGGGUUUAAAGGAGACGAGUUGGAAGCUCCAAUAGAUUUUGAAAAAGUUUGAUUUUGAUAGGUGUUAAUUGUGUAUUGGGAGUUUGAUUUUAAUAAUUGGGUAUUUAUGGUUCUUUUAAUAAUUGUAUUUAUGAUUCAAUUUUUUCAGUUAGGUAGGAGCACUCGAGACAUUGUUAUAGCAAUUAUUUUUCCAUAUUUUUUCGAUUCGGUUAUUUUAUCAAUUUAAAUAAAAAUUUGUCAUUUAUUCAAAAUAAACCCAAUAUUUUUCUAUUUUUCUGGUCCGCCCUUGUAGUAAUAUUGAGUGGACUUCAAAAUUGAUCUAGGUUUGGAGAUGAUAGGUUGAGCUUGAGAAGACCAAAAUUUUGUUUGGAAUAAAUUGGAUCAUCUGGGUUGGGUUAAGUGAAGGAAAACUGCAGCUGAUGGAUGGAUUAUAUAUGAAACACAGUACAAUAAAUUCUCGAUCUUCCACCGCUAGUUUUAAAUCGUCAGAAGAAAUGGCAUCAGAGAUGUGGUAUCGUCCAACGCACCACCCUAACAUGCCUAAAUUACAAACUACUAGUUCACAUGCCUAAAUUACAUCACAAAAGAAAUAGAAAUAAUAAAUAUACGAAAGGCCAUUAAUUACAAAGAAUAAUAUACAGAUUAUUUUCAUAUAUAUAUGAAAAUAUUUUCCAAUAUCCCCACAAAUUGGUGAUUUGGUUUCUUUGUACGGUUGAACCAUUCUUGCCCCAUGUAGCUUAAUGUUAGACCGUCAAAUCUUUUGUUAGGAUUCCAACCUACCCAGAGGUACUCAAGAAUAAACAGACAGCUCAAGAACAACUAAUUAUGAAAAAAUAUUGUUAGAACUGAUGUCCAAAAGAAUUGUUGUUCCGUGACAAACCACUGUUCUAAAAACAAUUACGGUACAACCAUGGUACUAAACACGAUGUCGGUUGCUUUUCAAGGUUAACACAACUCUUCAACUUAAACGUAUACUUGUUGGAAUAAGGAAUAGAAUCAAGAAGCUAAAUUAUGCCAAGGGAUGAAAGUUGAGAUGAACCGACGAUAAUAAAAGGAGAAAAAAAGAAACGACUAGAAUAAUCCUAUAGAUAUGAUAAACAAAAAACAAAAAGGAGAAUAAUCCUAUCACUAGAAACACACUUUACUUUUACAAUUAGCAUGCAGUGAUAUUUAUACCCUCUACGUAGUACUAAACAGUUCAAUGUGUGGGACAAAAAUCUGUCUUAUCCUUUACUUAUGGGCAUAAGUCCAUAAAUCAUUUCAAUAAAUGCCCGCCAAGUGACUAUUACAACAACGUUAAGAAGUAAACAAAAGAAAACAAAAGUUUUAAGAAAUCUAUUCUGAGCUAAGAUAGGAGAUCAAGAUUAUGCAUCAAUAUAUUGUAAUGAUUUGAAUUGAUUGGUAGUGUUGCAAGACGACUAACAGAGCGAGUGAGUUACAAAGCAAGAUCUCAAAAUUGGGCAGCGAUCCUUCUCAUGCGUUUAAAACACGGGACUCAACUACUAUCUUCCUUGGACUCACAAAUGUCUUCUCUUCAGCCUUGACCCGAAUUGGGGCUUCAACUUCCACUCUUAGACUCUGCCCAAUAAGCAAACCCAUGAGUCCCCAUUUUUCCUUCUUCAUUUCCAUUGACGUUGUUCUUCUGUAAUGAUUAUAGCAACCUUUGCUUAAUUCACCUCCUCUGCCCAUAUAUAAGAUAAUAAGUUUAACAACCCCUUUUAACUUAGCUUGCCCCAAAUGAAAAACUCUUCAAAUAUUAAUCCUAUAAAUCACUAUCUUUCUUAAAUGAAAGAGUGGGAUUCCAGCAAUUCAAGCCUAUAACCCAGCAUGUGGCUAUGGGCCCAUAAUUUAUUUGUCUUCCUUAAAGAGUAACAUUGAGUUUCUACAAAUUGUAGUCCAUAUUCAAGCCCAACAUCCUACUCAAUUUUUCCUUUCCAUAUUCCUCCUCCAAAGUAACGCUUGUCCUCCCUCCCAUUUACAUUUUACUAAGUAAUAACCCACCUUUGGCUGCAUCAAAAUAGAAUAAUGGGCUGUGUUGUGAUUCUGUGAAGUUAAAUUCAACUCUCCCGCAAGCCCUUCGCAUUUGUUAAAACAAUAAAAAAAUUAGUUGUUUUUGUUACUUUGAACUACUGUAACUGAUACUUGUUUGAGAGUGAGUUAUUUUGUUAAAAACAUAAACAAAAUAACAGUUUUAAUUCUUGUAGCUUAAAAAGGAAGCUUAGUAGAAAAAGUGAUGUAAGAAAAACUCAUCUGUAUUUUUUUGGCUUUUUGAAAACAUUUUCAUCUUAAAUAAUCUGUUGAAUAAAAGUGUGCUUGGAGACUUUGAAGAGUUCAUGUAAGCAAAUUUGUUGAACAAACCAUAGUUGUAUGUUCUUCUCAUUCUCUUCGUGCUCCAUUGAUCUUUGGAAGGCCAUUGUUGAAACUCUCAUCCAUCUUUUCUCUCUUGGUAACAUGCAAAACAAAAGGAAGAAAAUAAUUAAUAUACCUAAAGGUAGAGAACGUAGGUUUUGUAAUAAGGGUCAACCAUAAGAAUAUCAAUCUACAAUUUGUCAUUUAGAAAAAUAGCAAAACUGUUUUUUUUUUUCUUUUAAAAAAGGGCAAAACGAAUAAAAAUACAAUAAAUAGAAAUAUAAUCCAAAAUGCCCUUAGAUAUAUAGAAUGCCAGCUACUUUCUAAAGCUAAAAUAAAGUCUAAUUACACUAAUAAAUUCUCGAACAUAAUUAUCCUUACAUGUCCAAUCAAACUUAGAAUCCUUUUAAUCUUCACUUUCUAGCACUCUUGCAGUCAUCUUCAUUUUCCAUUUUCUUUUUCGAUAAUUAUUCAUAUCAAAGUCUUCAAGUUACAUAUUUAAUCUUCAAAUUACAAUUCCAUUAUUCCAUCUUCACCAAGCAGGCAAAACCUAAUCUCCACCCUCCAUUUUGCAAGUUACAAUUCCAUUUGAAGUACUUCAUCCUGCAUUUUUAUCUUCUUGUAUUUAAAACAUAAGAUUUUAUUAACUUCAUAUUUUUCACCAUCUUAAGGAAAAAUAUUUAAUUUAUAUUAGUAAUAUUUUAUAUAGAUUUUAGAGCGGUUUUAUCUAAAAAACGCAACAUUUUUGGGAUAUUUUGUUGGGAUAAAAAAAUAGAAUAAACCAAAAUUCAUUUAAAAAUCCUGAACAAUAGUGUUCUCUAAUAUUGAUUUGAGGUCAAGAUACCAUCCAUUCAAGGUUUGGGAAGUAUAUACUCUUAAGACAACAUUCAAAACGAGGUAUGGGCAAUAUGAGUUUUUAGUGAUGCCAUUCGAUUUAACAAAUGCACCUACAGUUUUCAUAGACCUCAUGAACAAUAUUUUCCAUCAUUAUUUAGAUUAGUUUGUGAUAGUGUUCAUUGAUGAUAUAUUAGUUUACUCAAUUGAUAGGAAAGUCCAUUAGGAAAAUAUGAGGAUUGUUCGAUAGACAUCACGUGAUAAAUAGUUGUAGGCUAAGUUCAACAAAUGUGAGUUCUGGUUGAAACAAGUAGUGCUCUUAGGGCAUGAAGUUUCAACAAACGAAGUUAGUGUUGAUUCGUAGAAAGUGAAAGAUGUUGUCAACUGAGAGAGACGAACUAGUGCAACAGAAGUACAUAGUUUCCUAGGCCUUGCAGGAUACUACAACCAUUUUAUUGAGGAUUUCUCACCAUUUGCAUUACUCUUAACAACUUUGACAAGAAGAAUGCUAAGUUUGAGUGGUCGGAUAAUAUGAGACUUUCCUUUGACAAAUAAUCUCAUCUCCACUAUGUUGAUCUUUUUUAGAUGAACUGUGAGCUUCCUCUGGUACAACAUCCAUAAGCUCACUAAUACUCGAAACACACAGUCUUCUUUUCUUAACUAUGACUUCAUAUAUUCUCAACUCAAACUCUACCUCUGAGCCUUACUUUCAUGACUUUCCAAGUAUAUUAUGUAAGUUACUAUCCUCUAGUUAUCUUCUCACAAUCUCUACUACUAGAGAAGACCUAACCUGAAAUUAAGCUACAAGACUCAUUGUACUCUCUACAGUCAUAGCCCUAUUAAAGCCUCUUAACUCACUUAUCAAACUUGCUCGAAUGCCAUACAAGGCACUCUUUGGAAGUCUAGACUUCAUAUUGAAUGCAUUUGCUACUAUGUUAUUCUAUGGUAUUCUAUGGUACAGUCACAACUUAUAAUCAGUUCUAGCCAUCACCUCUAUCUUAAAUUAAACUCUUUGAUCAAAGAUAUACUUCAGACUCUUACCGAUAUGUAAAAAUGUGGCACACUUCUCAUCGAAUAAAUAAUUUCUCUAGAUUUUCAUUGCUAAAACAACUAGUGCUAGCUCAAGAUCAUGGUUAGGGUAAUUAUAUUCAUUGUUCUUCAACUGUCUUGAAGCUUAGCUAUUAACUUCCCUUCCUACAUAAGGGUAUAACCUAAUCCUUGGGCUCGAGGCGUCACAAUAGAUCAUGUACUCCUUCUCUAUUUCAUGAAGUGUCAUAAUAGAUGCUAUGACUUGAAUCUCUAUCAAAACAAGGCAUCCUACCUGAUGAAACCAGUAAGAAGCUGUCUUUUUGUAAACAUUGUGUGUUAGGGUGAAAGCAAGAAAAAAAUACUUCUCCAAAGCCCAACACACUACUAAAGGAAUCCUUGACUUCAUCCAUUUGGAUCUAUGAAGACUAUCCUCAACUCCAAGCCUAGGUGGCUCAAGGUACAUUUUAUCCUUUACUGGUGAUUUCUUUAGAAAAAGUUGGAUUUAUUUUCGAAAAACUAAAAACGAAGUCUUGAAAAAAAAAAUUAAAAUGGAAAUUGAUGAGAGGAAAACAAAAAGAAAAAGAUAUUAAAUAUCCUAGAACCUAUGAUGGUUUGGAGUUUUGUGGAGAGGAUUUCAGUGCUUUUUGUAUGAAAAAUGGAAUUACAAAACUUAAGACAAUAAGAUACACACCACAACAAAAUGGGGUGGUCAAAAUACUUACAAGAACUAUCGUGGAAAGAGUAACAUUCCCAUUAUCUGUUUCCUGUUUCCUAUUUCCUAUUUCUUGUUUCCUAUUUCUUGUUCCAUGUUUCUUCUUUUUUGAUAACAAGAUACAAGAAUGUGUUUGAUAACUAUUUCUUGUUUCCAGUUUCUUAUUUCUUGUUUUCUUAAUUAUUUCCUACAUUUGUCGACUCACAUCUAAUUCAAUUAAAUAUUAACAAAAAUAUAUGUCGAUAGUUAAACACUUCUUCUCUACCUUGAGGGCAAUGUCUCAUUUCUUUAAAAUCUACCUCACUAACUUUAACGAUAUUUACCAACAAUAAAUCAUUUUUGGAUUUCAACGGUAUUUUGUCAUUUGUAUAAGUUCUAAACAUUUUACACAUUAGCUUGAAUAUGAGAUUGAAAUUGAAAGAAUGAAACUUUCUAUAAAAGUUGAGAUGGAAAACAUCUUUAAUCCUUACAUUUAUAUUUAUACGAAAAAAUACUUAAUACCACCUUUGGUUUUAUAUAUAAAAGAACAAAGACAACCUAAUAGAAAGUUAAAAUGUUUGAAUUUAUACAAAAAUGGUGCUAUAUUCCAAAAUUAUGGUUCAAGAUUACAUUUUUUAAGCUCUUGAAACUCACCAAACAAAGAAGAAAAAAAAGCAAAAAAACAAUAUCCUCAUAUUUUCUUCUAAAAUGUUGGGCCAAACAGAUAAACUUUAGCAAUAAUUUUAGCAUAUAAACUUUAGAUAAAAGAGAAAGAGAACAAAAAGAGAGUCAAAAUCUAAGCAAUCCAACCUCAUUUCAACAUUUAUAAAACUUCAGAUUCAACCAAGAACUUAGCUAAUACAAGAUAAAAAAGAAUGGGAAAUAGAAUGGUAUACUCAGAUGACAAUGGAGAUUAUUAGGUUCGAUUCUGACAGUAAAGUCUCCUCAAUAGAUUUCAGAAGAGGAAGCUCUUUAUCCUCAUUGUAACCCUUCAAGUUCCCAAGAAAAAACUCAAUCGCUCUUUAUACGAAAGUGUAAAAGGAAAAAAACAAAUUUUUCUUGAAGAGUAAAUGGAAACGAGAGAGAAAGACAGAUUCGAAAAGAUCAAUUCUGCAUUCCAAUCUAUUGAGCUUGAUCUUUCAUGAAAUCAUCAAAGCCACUUGUUGUAUAUAAAACCAACAAAGGAAAAUCCAAAGGAAUCCAACCCGUAUGCAUCCUGAACUCGUUAUAUGGUAUGCGACGCGACUGGAGCAACCCCAACACCUCAAAGGAAACGCCAGAAUGCUCAUCAACUUAACUCUUUAAAAAAAAAAUGUACUUUAAAAUUUAGGCGACAAUAACAUCUUAACGCAGUGGAUUGAGUUAAACAACUUCUUUAUUAAUUCAUCUUCAUGCACUCUACAAUACAAUUUACACGCUCCUUAAAUAUAACAAAUAUAUAACAAUAAUCUUAAAACGCCUUGCACAGCUUCACAAUAUGGUAGUUCGCCCUCCUUAUUCCAACCUUGGCCUUACAAGCUGGUGACCUAAGGAAGGAAAAACUUUAAAACGUACGUAAAAACUUAAUGAGUGAUAGUUUUGGAAAACCUUUUUGGACAUAUAAAUACAUGAAAUUAUUUUCAUAAACACGACUUUCAUCACCUCAUUUCAUAAAACAGAAAUACUCAUUAGUCCUUCAUAUUCCUUUCCACCAAGAACAUGAACCAUUCUCAUGCAUAGAUUACUGUGAUGUCCUUUUCAUCAACAUCAUCCUUUGGAGAAUAUAUAUCCUAAUUCAUUUCUCGUUGCUCAAGCCGCUAAGCUCAAUAUGCUCAUUUUACGCAUCGGCCAACUUCACUCCACUAUGCAGUUCUUUUCUACAUGGUUGUCUUUGCUCCUUACGUCCACAUAAUAGUUAGUCCAUUGAGAGGAAUAAGACUAAUGCACACAACAUAGCACACAAUCAAUAACAAUAGGUUUACUUGAAACAAAACACAACUUUCUUAGAAAUCGUUUAUUUCAUAUGAAACGUUACAAGUCAGCUAGAAAUUAUAAGAAAGCUUUAAAAUCUUUAAACAAAAUCAUUCACAACACAAAUUCUGUCUUUAAAACGUGUGGAUUCCCAAAGACAUUAUUCUCGCCUAGUGAGUUUCCUCUUAGCAGAAUAAGUUCAAAUAUUUCAACAAAAACCCUUUUUACCAUAAACCUUUGUUCUUAUUUAUACUAAUCCCAACUUGGAUUGGUCAUCACUAAUUUCUUUAAGCUUGACAACUCCUACUUAAAGUAAUCCAUAUGCUUUUCAAACCAUGUGGAUUAGCUUAAGUACCAUUAGAAAAUUUUCCAAAAAUUUCCUAACUCUUCAACAUCUGAUCUUAUCUCACGCUUUUCCCUCAAAAUGCCUAUCAUCCCUUACUUGCAGAUUCUUUCCUCAUGCUAAGAUCUUCAUAAUGCGACUUAUCAAAACACCUAUUUUAUAAAGAUUUCUUCCUAUAUCAAAAUCCUUUAUUUAUUGGUCAUGUUGAUGAAAAGGAACGAGAAAUGUGAGACAGCUUUUAAGCGUCAAGUAAAGCUAGUUUUGUAGUAGUGAUGACUUCCAACAUUGCGUAGAUCCUUCCACAUAUGAGUUUCAAUUGCCAUCAUUUUCUGUUUUUCUGAUAUUUUCUUUAUUGUUUUCUUUUUCUCUGCUUUGAUAUUUGCUAGUCUUUUCUCCUCUUUUUCUCUAUUUGUUUUUAAUGAUUCAAUAAGUGUUUGUUGCAAUGUUCUAACCUACAGAUGUCCACUAGAUGGAACAGGAAUGAGGGGAUGUCACUCCCUAUCCCCGUCCCUACAAAUUUCUUUUCCCUCGUCCCCAUCUGCACCCCCUAUUCCAUUCCCCAUUCCCCAUUCCCACAAAUUUUCCCAUGGGAAAAUAUUUCCCGCUUUUAUGUUUUUAUAAAUAAAUAGAAAUAAAAAUAAAUAUAGAGGUCUUUUAAAAAAAUAAAUACUUACAUUGUAUAGAAAAAUUUUGAAAAUGAAAAAAGCUCAAAGGUCCACAAUAUAAAGUACUAAAACUACUUCAGUCAAGACAUGACAAAUUGGUCACAUGUGCAUGAUACACGAUUGUGUAGAUUUUAAUACAAGAUCUUAGGCAUACCAUAUCUCAAGAUGCCCCUAGAUGAAAGAAUUAUUCCUUUAGUUAUUGUACCUCUGGCCUUAGUUGCACUGAGAUGGUCUAAAAUGUUAGAAUUCUGUCUUUAUUUUUUGAUCUUAGGCAUACAUUAUCCUGAGAUGCCUGUAUGUCUCAGGAUGAAAGACUUCUAGCUUUAGUUAUUCGAUCUCGAACAUACAUUGCCCUGAGUUGACUCAGGAUGAAGGAAUUCUUCCUUUAUUUUAUUCAAUCUCAGGCGUACAUUGUCUCAAGAUGUCUUGAGAUGAAAGACCUCUGCCUUUAAUUAUUCGAUCUUGGCCUUAAUUGCAUCAAGAUGACCUGAAAUGAAAGAGUUCUGCCUUUAUUUUAUUUGAUCUUGCCUCGAAAUGUCAUCGAAUGAAAGUUUUUUGUCUUUAGUUAUUCGAUCUCGGGCCUUAAUUGCACCGAGAUGGCCUGGGAUUAAUAGAAAUAUACAUGUGUGUGUGUGCGUUUUUUUCUUUCGAGGCAGGGUCGCGACCAGGUUCCGAGAAUGUAUUCCCCAUCCUUAGUCGUGAAUUGUUAAUAAAAAAAAAAAAAAAUCCUUAGUGCCUCUCCCAUUUUCCUCCUCGUUGUUGUACCUCUAACAAUACUUCAUUAAAAAAAAACACUAUUAAAUUUGAUGUUCCAAGAUGAGCAAUGGCUUUGUAAAAAUUGUUAGGAUCUCAACCUAACAAGAGAUACUCAAGAACACACAAACGGAACUCAAGAACAAUCAAUUAUGAAAAGCAUAUUUGAAAUAAAUGUUAUAACAUCAAAGAACAAGUAACUUGCUCUUUGCGAGGACUAGACUCUCCCAAAUCCCCCACAAGAAAAUUGAUCCACACAUAAAAUUCUUCAUACUCUUUCCCAAUCCCUCUCCUUGAUCUACAAUCCCUCUCCUUGAUCUAUUUAUACUAAAAAAGAACUAACUAACUUUCUAACUAUUUACUAAUAUAUAUGUUCCCAACUAAUAACCAUAUUAAUUUUCAACUGAAUAUUCCUUUUAUUCUUUAACUAGGGAUCUCACAUCUUCUUACCAAAUGGCUAGGUCCCUACUAGCUAACUAUAUUAAUUUACAUCAUGUAAUUUAGAAUCAUUCUUUUAGCUGCUUAGGUGAAGGAUAUUAUCGAGGCCAACUAGACUAGCUUUUUUGGGUGCUUACAAAUAUCUUAAGGUGUCAUUUCGGACUUAAAUGUAAUUUAGGCUGAAUGUGCAUUUAUAUUUAUCAAUAAUCAAACUUUAUGUCCUUAAUUCUACUUGUUGGGGAUUUUUGAACAUUCAUAAUCUAGAUAUAUAAUCGAGGCAUUACAAAACACAUGCAAUCAUGUUAUGUCAGAUCAUCAUACUCGUACCAAAGUUUAAAUACAAAUAACAAUUUUCGACUUUUGUAAGAAUGCAAGAGAUAUAUAUUGCACACUCAUGCCACUUGACAAGCGUUUCUUAACUAAUAUACUAUUUCUUAUGGAAAAUCUCUUAGCACACUCAUUUUGAGAUGUUUGCCCUCACUAGGUGUGUAAUCGGGUUGGGUUGGGAGACAUUCUCAACCCAACCCAUACUUUUGGGUUAUAUGGGUUGGCAACCCGAAUUUAGUUUCCAACUCAAUCAGUAAAAAUAUGGGUUAGGUUGGGUUAUGUUGUUUUUUUUUUUUUUCUUUCUUCGUUUCUACUUUCUAACGAAAACGAAGGUGGAUGGCACGAUUGUGAGGGAGAAGACCGAAGAGGGAGAAGAUCGACCGUCGAAAAUGGAGGUGGACAACGAGAUUGUGAGGGAGAAGACAGAUGACUGAGGUGAGAUGGAAGAGAAGAAUCGAACACAAUGAAAAAGGGUGAACAGGACGCAAGGGAAAGAAAAUUGAAGAGGGAGGAAGACCUUAAUUUUUAGAUUUUAUUUUAUUAAAUAAAUAAUAUAUAAAUAUGAAUAUAUAUACAUAUAUUAUAUUAAUUUAGGUUGGGUUGGGUUGACCCGAAUUUUUCAAUCGUCCAACCCAAGACCCAACCCAACCCGAAAAUAUUAAUUUUUUUUAAUCCAACCUAACCCUUACAAUAUGGGUUGGGUAGUACGGAUUAUCUGAAUUCAACCCAUAUUUUUACACCUCUAGUCUUCACCGUGGAUGAUCAUUUUCACCACGGUGGCUCAUUAGACCAUAGAGCAAGUUAUGGCUUAUGGCGGUAGAGAGAGCCAACACAAUGUAUUUCCCUUUAGAUCAUUUCAAGGUACAAAGUUGGUUUCAGCCCUCAAAUGUUGUGAGGAGUCACUCACUAGUGUGAAUACCACAUUUGAACUAUGAUUAAAAAAUUGAUGUGGUUGCUUUCUUCACUCAUGUGUCGUCAACUCUAGAUUCACCCGUCCAAACUUCUAACAAAACUCUGACUUUUAGGAGAGAAAUGACCCUAAGGAUAUCAGGAGGAGUGAAGAAGAAAAAGAAUAUAGAAAUGAGUAAAACAAUAAUAAACAACUAUAGAGGCAAUAGUGCAAGUAAUAAGGAAUACAUAUAUUACUUUGUACGUGACACGGAAGAAAUUAUAAAGUACUGUUGAGAGAAGCAGCCUAUUGCUAUAGUAGAAUUGAGACAUGUUACACCAAAUUCUUAUACUUAUAUUAACUAAUUUUAUCCGUGUAAAGUUAUAUAUUUGACAAAUGUGAUGUGAUAUUUGUGUGUACAUUGAGGGCAGUGCCCACUUUUCCUGAACACAUAAAUAAUGUUAAGUGAACAAUUGUAUGUAACUAGUCGUACCAUAUUAGACAUACACUUUUUAUAUUAUUAUAAGUAAAAAAAUAUCAUAAUUAAAGCUAAAUUUAACCUCUAAAUCGAAGUUUUGUGACUAAUAAAUCUCAAAUUUGUAAAUAAAUGUUAGAUAAAUAUUCUUGAUUUUUAAUUUUGUAUAUCUUUUGACGAGUACUACAACUGAACAUUUUAAACUUUGUAUAUCAUAAAUCACGAAUCAUGAUAUAAAGGAUAUAAUAUAUUUUUUUAAAGAGGUAUUUAAUGUUCCAUAUUGGUAAAUGUAUAUCAUUUUGUAACGAUGUUUAAUAAUCUCGAUAAAAAUUAGAUUUUUUUCAAUAGCUACUAUAAAUAUAUAUCUUUCUAAACGGUCUUUAAUAAUCUAAUUUCAAAGGUUACGUUCAACAAAUAUCUAUUCUUCAACUUUAUAUUUAAUAUAUUAUUCAUAAAUUAAAAAAACAAAACAAAAGCUGAAUACAGUAUGGUAUUAUUAUAGACACGUUUUUAAAGAUCAAGUGCUCUAUUAGAAGUAUUUGAACACGUUUGGAAGACUUGGAACUGAGUUUGUAAGGAAAGAAACAAAGAAAGAAGAAAAACAAAUGGCAAAGAAGAUGAUGAACGUGGAAGAAACAUAGAAAUCUCCAUAGCCAUUAAAAGCCACACCAUACAACCUUCAAAAUUCCACGUCUCAUCCAUGCAUUGCUCUCUUAUUCCUUCAAAUACUCAUCCUUUCAGCCACCACUUUUCUCCCCUACUCUCCUCUUUAAACAUUAUACUCAAGCCCAUAUAAUGAUGUCUACUAAACCACUAGUUUCCAUCCUCCUCCUUUCCCUCUUCCUCUUCGCCGUUGCUGCCUCCGACCACCAGUUCGACGAUGACAACCAAAGCCAACGCCCUUGGUUGCAAAGGUGCCGUCAGCAGGUUCUCGCCUUUCCAGUUCUCUUUUAUUUAUAGUUUCAUUUAUUCGGUUAAUUGCUAUUUUUUAUUUUUAUUUGUAUUCGUUGGGAUGAGAACAUGCAUACAAUCCACCAACUAGUUUGCUUGUGUUUUUGUUAUUUUUAAACAAAUAACUACUUUACUUUAAUAUUGUUCAAAAUUAAUUAUUUUGGUAUUUUCUAUACUUUAUUUAAAUAUAUAUUUCAUAAAUUAUUUAGAUUUCAUUUGCUAUUAAUAACUAUUUGUUUUUUUGUUUUUAUUUUUAAAAGUUAAGCUUAUCUUUUCUCCAAUUUCUUACGUUAAAAUGUUGAAUUUUUAGCUAAAUACUAAAAACCAAAACUAGCUUAGAACUUUAUAUAUUUUCUUAACUUUCAAAAAACUAAAAUGGUUUUAAAAAAUAUUGGUGAAAAAAUAAAUAAUGAAAUUAUAAAUUUAGACAUGAAAGAAAGGUUAUUAUAAAAUUUUCAAAAAAUCUAAAAACAAAAAAACUAUGACUCCUUUUUUAACUAAAUUAUAUAUAUAUAUAUAUAUAUAUAUAUAUAUAUAUAACUUUUUAAAUACCAUACUAAAGUUAUAUUGGCAAAAAUGUACAAAAAAAAAAUAUCCAACCAAUGUAAGCAAAUCCAAACGUCACUUUUCAUAUAGAACCCAAGAUUACUUAAAUCCCAAACCCAAGAUUACUUAAAUCCCAAAUUUUGAAAACUAAGAAAACACAUAAAUUUAAAAAUAAUUUUGUUUUAAGAAUUUAACUAACAAUUCUUAACUCUUUGAAAAAGAGGAAAAAUAACUUGUUAUUCACCACACAAAUGUUUUAUUUUACUUUAUGUUUACCAACAAUCAAAUGUAACACCUACCAUGUCGCUAAAAAUGUGACAGAUUCGAAGCGGCGAACGGCUGCGCCACUGUGAGAGGUUACUGACACAGCCCCGCCGCUUCCGGCUGCUGUUAGCAGCGGAGGAAGAGGAAGACGCAGUGGAACAUCUGGAGGAAUGCUGCCAGCAGCUGAAAGGGAUGGACGAUGCAUGCCGGUGCGAGGGGCUUCGUCAGAUCGUGCAGCGCCGUAGGCAGCAAGGCCAGCUGCAGGGGGUCGAUGUUGGACAAAUGCUGGAAAGAGCUACAAACUUACCGUCGGUCUGCCGUCUCAGCCGACGCCGGUGUGACCUCCGAUCAACCACUCCAUUGUAGAAUAAGAGGAAAGAAAAGAGAGAGGAGAGAGAGAGCCCAUUGAGGUUGAACAAUCUGAAAAAUGGAGUAAUAAUCAAUAAAAUAUGAAGGCUCCCCAACUUAGAGGGAGAUCUGUGUACUAAUGUUUUAAAGAAACAUCACUUAGUUUCUUUUUUUUCUUUCUUCUUUCUUUCUUUUUAUUUUUAUUUUUGGUUUAGUUUUCUUUUCUUUACCUUUUUUUCUUGGGGUUUUUGUUUUGUUCUGUGUGCUGAAAUCGAAAUAAAUCAAAAUAAGUCUUAGACUCUACUGGGAAUAAAUAUCGUUGAAUCUUAAUUAUUUAGUUUACUUCUUUUAAUUUGGUUGAAUCUUAAUUAUUUUUGUUUACUUCAUUUAAUUCAUCUCUUUCAAACUAUUUUUUCUAAUUUUAAAUAUCAAGUAACUAUUUUUUUUAAAAUCAACAUACUCGGGUUGAGUUGAGUUGGAGAACGUUUUCAACCCAACCCAUAUUUUCAAGUUGGUUGAAUUGGAACUUAAAUAACCUCAAUUGUAUUUCUAUCCAAUCUCGAGUUAGAUUGAGUUGGCAGGUUGUAUAUAUAUAUAUUUUUUUUUCAUUUUUAAUGUUUGCAAAGUUUAUAAUUGUUGUACCUCGAUAAAUACACACAUCCAAAAAUUUAAACAUCCAUAAAUUCAAAGUUUCAAACAUCCAUAAAAGUUUAACAUUCCAAACAUUAUUCAUAAAUAUUAAAUAAAUAUAUAAACAUUUUUAAAAAUAGCAAAAUAAAUUAAAAUUUUGGAUUCUAUCACGGAUAGUCUUCUAUCACUAUAACAUAUCACUGAUUGAAUUUGCUAUAGGUGGUAAAUAUUUUGUAAAAUCUAUUAUUUUUAAAAAUUUUCCAAAAAUAUAUGAUAUAAAUAAAUUUAAUUUAUAGGGACAUUUUUAAAAAUACUAAAUAAAUUAAAAUAUUUACAAACUAUAACAAAAAAUUUUGGAUUCCAUCAAUGAUAAAAACUGAUAGAUUUUUAUCACCGACUAUAAAUGUUACUAUACAAAAAUAUCAAUGUUUAUCAAAUAUUUGUUGUUGAUAGAAUUAGAAAUUUUGCUAUAGCUUAUAAAUAUUUUGUCAAAUUUGCUAUUUUUGACAAUUUUUUCUCUCUAUAUAUAUAUAUUAUGAGUAAUAAGGGUUGGAUUAGGUUAAAUCGAAUUUUUCAACCUCAAUCCGAGACCCAACCCAACUCGAAAAAAAUCAAAAUUUUCAACCCAAACUUAACUCAUGUAAUAUGGGUUGGGUGUUACGGGUUUCGACUUAUUCAGAUUAUUCUUACACCCCACUUAGGACAUCUUAAACUUACUUUUUAAAAAGGGGCUCUUGCAAAUAUGACAAAAUUAAUUUGAUAAAUUAGGCUUAUACCACACAAAUUGUAAAUUUGUAAAAAUAAGUCCAGUCACAUUUGAGAAAUGCAAAAUUACAAACCUACCCUAUAAAAUUAUAAAUCAUUAGUUUGUUACAUUUAAGUUAGCCACAUUAAACAUUUUUUACAUGUUUCUUCUUCCCUUCAUGUCUCACUAAUACUUCAUCGAUACACAUCAUUUGUUUGAUACAUUUGAUAUGUUGUUGAUACCUUGAUGCAUUUUUUAUACGCUUGUUAUGCUUUGCUAAUACAUCUGAUGAAUUAAUUAAAUAAUACUUGAUACACAUCAUUGGUUUGAAUAUACAUUGGAUAUGUUAUUGAUACAUUUGCUAAACUUUGCAAAUACACUUAAUCAAUUAAAUACACUUGAUGUACUAAGUAUGAUACAUUUAAUAUAUUGUCGGUACACUUAGCUAUUAUGGUUUGUUCAUACAGUACUUGAUGGGUUUAAUACACUACCGAAAAUAUAUUUUAUACUUUACUAAAAUCCUCGACAGAUUUUAUAAAACUAACUUGAUGCAAUUCAUAUGUUUGAUACCCUUGAUGUACUGAUAGUACACUUUCUAUAUUACUAAUACACUCGAUUGAUUAAAUACAUUUGAUACACUUAUGGUUCUGCCGAUACACUUAAUAUAUUUCACUAUUACACUUCGAUACAUAUUAUAUGUUUGAUAUACACUUGAUAUCAUGUUGAUUAUUAUGCAUUAUUUGUAAUAUGAUCAACUUGAUUAAAUGAAUCAAUUUCAAUUUACUUAAAUAGGUUAAUGCUAAAGAGAACCUUGAAAAUAAAGUUCAAUAAGUUGACAACAAUAGAUUCAAUUGUCAACACGAGUUUCAAUACGUAAUAUCAAGUUCACAAAAUAAUCAAACAACAUCACUCCAUCAACCAAAACACAAUUGUUUUGCAAUCCACGUAGUAUGUCACUCAUCCCAUUAACCACUAUGAAACAUAAUUAUUGCAAGCUUAACCAUGACUACGAUCAACUGCAAAAAAUUAAAGAAAAAAAUAGAUAGUAUGUACAUCAGUCAAAUAAUACAUAUAAUAUAAGUGUAUCACAACACUGAUAUACAAAACUGAUGAACAAAAUAAAACCAAAAUAGAACCAACAUAAAAAAAAAAUAAUAAUAAUUAGAAAUUAGAUUUAACUCCAAAAUUCACACCAAAGAAAAUAGAGAAUAAUAACAUAUAAAGUUAAAAUUUUCAUAUCAACAACUAUUAUAUAUCAAAUUUCAACUAACACUACAAGAAAUCGAAGUUUUUUCGAUGAAGAAAAAUGCGUCGGACAAAGGAACAUCGACAAACGGAGUUUCUUCCGACGUAACAAGAAUAAUUUCGAAAGAGGGCCUUUCUCCUGACGCUGCCAAAUGAACAUCGAGCAAAUGUGGCCAAGCCCCAACGUGAUUCAUGUACACAUCGGAACUACCUUAGUUACUGUCGACGUCUACUAUAUGGCAUCGAAAGAGGUGAAAGAAUUAAAUGCAUAAUUGGCUUUCCUCCAACGUGAUGUCGGAGGCAUCAAGAAAAUGGAUUCACAUUCCUAAUGUCAUUAGUUAUAUGUCAGAAAUGAGAGGGUUUCCCUGACACUUUCGAGAUGUGUCGAGUAUUUCCCUUUUAAUAAACUCAUUCUCAUUCAUGAUGUAAAUUACAGAAUUGAAAGAGAAGAAGGAAAACGAGAGAGAGAGAGAGACUAAGAAGAAGAGAUCUUUCAUCGUCCUGUUGUCGUCGAUCCCCGUCGCUCGUUGUCGUUCUAUCAUCGUUGUCUUCUAUCGAUUCUACUAAUUUAGGUAAGUACUUUUGUUUUAUAUUAGUUUAGAUUUAGUUUAUUUUUAUUUAGAUUAUAAAUGAUGAUUUAGGAAUAAGAUUUUGAAUUUGGUUUUAGAUUUGGAUUUUGAAUUAGUUUUUGGAGUUCAAUUUGAAUUUUAUUUGUUUUUGGGAUUCAUGAAUUAGUGUAAAUUUGAGGGGUUGUUGAAUUCAAAGUUUGAAAGAGUGAGGGGUUGAAUGAAUUCAAACCGUAAGGGGGUUAAAUUAAAAAUUGAAAGGGGUUGAAUUGAAAAUUAGAGGGAAAGGUUGAGUUUGGUUGAAUUGAAAUUUUUCACGAGAGUUGGAUUGAAACAGGUGAAUUGAAAUUUUGUAGGAGGGUUGGAUUGAAACUUGGAGAGAGAGAGGGUUUGUAAGAGGGGGUUGAAAGGGAUGAGAGAAGACUGUAUUGAAUUGAAAAUUUUGUUUUGGCUAUUGUGAAGUUAUGAUUACCUUUAUUUCAAACUUGAUUGUUGUUUAUUUUUUAAUAGUUUUGUUUGUUAGAACUAUUAGGAAUUUGUUAUUGAUUUCUUAUGGUUAUUAUGGAGUUAUGGCAACCUCUUCUCUUUAGUGCAAACUUAGUUUUGAAUUUGUUAGAUGAUAGUAGUUUGUUUGGUUAGUUUGUUCUAACUACAGUUAUGGUAGCCUUUGUAGUUUAAACUUAGGUUAAAAGAUUGGGAGGAUUGGAAAUAGCUAUUCAUGAACUAAUUAAAUUUAGGGUUUGAUGGGAGGAAUAUAGGACUAAUGAUCAAACAUAUUAUUUACUUGCGGUACGUAUUUUUGAGCAGUAUCGUUGUUUACGUUGCAUUAUAUAUAUAUCUUUUUUUUUUUUUUUCAUUGUGUAGGUGUGGACUUGUUUAAUUAUGGCAUUCCCAAUUAAGUUAUAUUAAUUUUUUUUAUAUAAUUUUUUAACAAAUUGAGAAGUGUUAGACAAUGUAAUAUUUUUUAAUUACAAUGUAAUUUUGAUUUGGCAUUUUGUAUAUUUAUUUACUAAUUUUGGUUGUUCAUUUUUUUGUAAUUUUAUUGAAUUUAAAUCGAAUUGGAAUUGAACAUAAUAGUGCACAAUCAAAAUAAGAAAUUAAAAAAAAUCCUCAAACCGUUCCCGACGCAAAUAGUGCAUCGGAAAAUAGGUCUUCCCUCCAAAAAUGCAUAAUGACAUCAGAGAUAGUUUUCAUGAUGUAACGUCGGCCAAACUCUUCUCUCGACAUAGAAAUCUACGUCAAGAGAAGAGUUCUCUAUUUCCUGACACGAUUACGUCGUCGGCACAACGUGCCUCGGGUGAAGGGCAUUACCAACGCGUGUUUCUUCUUUCGUCGGGAAUAGAUCUCCUGAUAGGAAUUUUCGACAACCAUUCCUAUGUGGGACAUUACGUCGGGAGACUGUUUGCCGACACAAUUUGUAACCUUACCCGAUGCCAUCUUGCAUCGAAAAACUCCCAACUUGUUGUAACGUAAUGUUGCAUGAGAUUGAAUAAAAAGUUGGCAAAGUAAAUAAAAACUGCUUUCUAUUUUUAAUUUUAAAGAAAAUAGAAAAACACAAAAAUAACAAAUAAUAAAGUAAUAAAAAGAAAAAUGGUAGGAUCCACUAUUCUACAACGUAACUUUUACCAUUUUCUCUUUCUGCACUUCUCCUUUGUUCUUUUCCUUCUUCUUUAUCCUCCCUUUCUUUUCUUCUGCUUCUUUCCUAAACUUCUUGUUUUACCAUCCUUUUGUUAGUAUUACUGUCGUCAAAAUUGGUGCUCCAACACAAAUUCAACAUGCAAGUCUUACACAUCAUUUUGAAACUCCUAUUUUGUCAUGCUUCCAAAUUAAACUUAUUCGUGCUCUCAUUGUUGUCGUCCUUUUUGGUCAAGUUCUCAUCCACAACGUCAAAACAUUUUUCUCACCGUCAAUCGAAUUUAGGGUAAUCAUGGUAUUGAAAACUGUGAUGCUCCAAAAGAAAAAGAAAUGGUAAAAAUGGGAAUUAAAAAUACAAAAGUCUGAAUUUGAUAGAAAAUCACAAACCUUAAACGUUUUUGGCAAAGUACCUAAACUAUUUUGUCAUCCAAUACAAUUUCUCUUUUAAAAACUUGUGUAAACUACCAAGAUAUAAUUAUUAAAAACUCAGGGACGAAACACUCUACUCGUCAAAACAUGGAUACUAAAAAGAUAAUUUUGCUUUAUUUUUCAGGGUUUGUACUAAAGGUUUCUUUUUGUUCUAAUAUAUAUUUUCUUUUUUUAAAAAAAAAACAAUUGAAUAUACAUUUGUAUUAUAUGUUUAAAUGGAACUAAAUCAAUUGAUUUUAACCUGUUCUCUACAAAUUUUAGAAAUAUAAAUUUCUAGUAGUUUUUACAACUGUUUUAUGCCAUUAAAAUUUGAUUAAGCAUUAAAAAACUCAAACACAAAGAACUAAGAGAUCAAAAUAAACAUAAACUUAAGAAACAAGAAAAAAUUAUUAUCAAACAAAGUCCAAUUAAGCACAAUUUGACAUGUGUGCUAAAUCGCCAUGGUUUCUAUUUUUAGAUCUUAAAAAAGCUUAAUAUAAUGUUCAAUAAUUUAAUUUAUUUUCUAAAUAAUGAGAUUAAUUUAAAAAUUAAUUCAAAUAGAGAGAGAGAAGUUGAUGAGACGAGAGAACAAGUCGUUAAUCAUAUACAUACUAAUAACUGUGGUUUGUAAUUAGUUUUUAAUAACAACAAAGAAGAAAAGUUGUGUUAUUUAAUUAAAACUAAUUAAAAGCCACCAGAUAGACGAAUAACCAAAUACAGUGCAGAAUCAUUCUUAAUAUUAUUCUCUGCAAGAGUUUUAUGAUUUUCGAGAACCUUUCCUGCAUAAACAAUAUUUUGACUAUCAGCACGUACUCCAUAUUUAGCUUCUAGUUUAGCCUUCAAACCUUCAAUUGUGGCCGUUGGUUCCAAAUCUAAACUUAAUACUUUCCCAUCGAACGUCUUCACAAAGAUCUGCAUCUGCAUUAUUAUUUUUCAAAUUCACAACACAAAUUAACGUAACUAGGAUCCCAUUUCCUAAUCAAUUUGUCAUUUCAUACUACAGAUCACCAUCAAAGUUGAAAUGGGAUUGUUCCCUUGAAAUGUUAUGAAUUCCAAGUUUUGUUGAUUUUGAUAUGAAGCUUUGAUUAAUUAUUAUUAUUAUUUUACUGGAAGUAGAGAAGUAGCGAGGACGUAUAAUUUUAGUGGAAAUUAUUAUGAGUUUUUGUAUUUAAUGGUCUAUUGUGGAAGAAGACGAUUGAGUGCUUUUUUCAAGAAAAAAGAAAAAUUAACGAAGAAAUGUACAUACACUUCGAUUUUUAUUCUCACCACUUUGGAAAACGAAGUUGUUUAAUUUGGUGUUAAUUAAGAGUCGUUGUUUCUUUGGGUUUCUUUGGGUUGAGUUUCUUCUAAGACGAAGAUUCUCAAACAGCCAUAAAACUCUAAUAAAUUAAUUGAGAAUAAUACUUUUUUUUUUCUUUUAGUUAGUAGUUUGGAUAAUUACAAUAUUCUUAUUAAAAAAUUAAAAUAGAAAAAAUAGAAAAAUUGAACAAAACAUUUACAAAAUUAAAGUGUAAUAGUUUUUCUAAAUGAUGGGUAAUAAUUUGUACUUUUUAUUUUUUUGAAAAAAACUUCAUAUAAAAAAUUAUUAAGAAAAAAUAUGAUAUUUAAUAAAAAGAGAGAUUUGAUUUGAUUUUUUUUGUGCAUAUAAAGAUUAUUUGGAAAAUAGAUUUUUAGGAGAGGAGUUGUCAUAAAUAGAAAAAAAAAUUAAAAAUAUUUCCAAGAUAUAACAAAAAAAAUCUCAAAUGCUCUUUAGAGAAAAAGUUGACAAGAUCAAAAAGUUACAAAAAAGAAGUAGCCAUAAUUUUGAUAGUAAUAAUAAUAAAGAAAACUAAAAUGUGUUAUUUAAUUAAGACUUAAUUAAAAGCCACCACGAGUAAAAAGAAGCAAAAACAAUGCAAGAGUUGGAUGAUCUUGAAGCAUCUGCAUAAACAAGCUUUUGAGAUUCAACACCUAUGUCAUGCUUAGUUUCUAUUUUAGCAUUCAAAUUUAUGCAUUUGUGGCCGUUGAUUCAACAUCUAAAGCUAAUUAUCUUCCUAUCAAAAUGUCGUCACAAAGAUCUACAUCUGCAUUUUUUGAAAAUAAAUUCACAAACACAAAUCAACAUAUCAAGGCUCUAUUUGGUAGUGAUUUGGUUUUUUAGUGUUCAAGAAGAAAUUUGGAGAUGGAAGAGUAAUGGUAUUGAUUAAUUGCUUUUACCAAAAACAAAAUGAUUUUACCAAUUAUGAGCUAAGUUAUUCCCAAUUUUAUGCCUUAUAGAAUCAUCAAAAUUCAAAUGAGAAUGUUUAUACCUUGGGAUGUUAUGAAUUCCAAGUUGUCGAAGGGAUGUUGAUGCAGCUUUAUGAUUUGAUUGAUUUGUAUAUUUGAAUGUAAAGAUUUGAGAACAUUGUAUAUUUAUAGUGGAAAAUACUAUGAGUUUGCAUUAAUGCUUCAUAUGGAUGAAAACGAUGAGUCAUUAAAAAAAAAAACUAAACUUUGAUUUCUAUCCUCAACUCUUGGGAAAAACGAAAAUGUUUGGUGUUAAUGAAAAGUCAUUUCAAUUUUUUUUUCUAGGGAUGAGGAUUCCCAAACAACCAUUAAACUCAAACAAAUUUGUCAAUAAUCAUAUCGAGUUUGGAUAAAUGUAAUAUUAAAAAAUAUAUAUAUAAUAUUUAGGAAAUGAUAAGGGAGAAAAGAUAAAAUGGAUUAACUAUUAAAAAAAAUUGUUUCCCUUCUUCAUUUUCCUUAUUCUAUUUAAGAAUAAUUAUGAACUGAAUAUUUGAGAUAUUAAGAGUCGUACGUUCGAAAAACCAAGAAAACUCAUAUUUCAUCUAUCCUCUUAUAAUCAAUUAGUUUUGAAAUAAAAUUCCAUAUUGUUAAAUUUAACAUAAAGAUAGGUGAACUCAAAGAGGCACUGCUUUGCUACGGAAUCCCAAAAGUUUAAAGUUUAAUUUUAGUAACGAUAAAAAAUAAAUGUUUAUAUGCAAAAUAAUUUAAAAUUUAUACUAACAAUAUUUAUAGUUAGAUCUUAAAUUAUCAUAAAAGACUAUUAAACAUUAUGAAUUAAUUUUAUAAAAAAAUACACAUUUUAAAUCUUUUUUCAGAAAUAUAUUUUAAAAUAAAUUGUACGUUGACUUGAAAUUAUUAAUUUUUUAGUUAAUUGAAACUAAAUAUUUAUUUUAUUUUUUGUCUUAAUUUUUUUAGGAGAAUUUUUAAAAACAGUAGACUUUACAAAAUAUUUACAACCUAUAGCAAAUUAUAUCACUUAUAGUCAUUGAUAUGCAAUAGUGAUAGAAGACUAUUAGUGAUAUUUGUAUUAAUUUUUUUAUGAGAAUUUUUAAAAAUAAUAGAGUUUGCAAAAUAUUUACAACUUAUAGCAUAUUCUAUCACUCGUAGUCAUUGAUAUGCUAUAGUGAUAGAAAACUAUCACUCAUAGGAUCAAAAAUUUUGCUAUAGCUUGUAAAUAUUUUAAUUUAUGUUAGCUAUUUUUAAAAAUAAACCGUAAAUAUAAACAUCUUUGAAUUUGUUCUUAAUUUUCUUUUCUAUCAUCAGGUUUCUUUUAUUCUAAGUAUCUGAAUAUUCUUAUUGAUUUCUGUUUUUGUUAUAUUCAAUCGUUUGAAAUGUGUUGUAAUUGUUCUUUAUGUUCUUGGCAACCAUGGUGAGCUUAGAAGGUAAAGUAUGAUUUUAUUUUAUUUUUGUUUACUUACUGCUUAGUGUGUCUUUGUGGUUUGAAUUUUUUGCAUAUGUUUGUUUGCACACUGCAGCUACAAAAGAGGAGGAAGUUGAAGAAGAUGAUAAAAUGGAUGGUUACCAAAGUAGGAAGUUGAUGACGAUGGGAAGAUAUUUUUAUUUUUAAAAAAUAGAGGAUAUCCUGACGCUAUAUCCCGUGCGUCGGGAUAUCCUCUCUAGACAAAUGUUUUUCGACUUCGAUCCGGCACGAACUUAUGCAUCGAGAAAUCAUUUUCAAAUAUUUUUUCUCUUUCUUCCAACACUUUUGUACGUCGGAAGAUCCUUAUUUUCUUUUCUUGUAGUGUGAAUUGAAAUAAGAAUAAUGUAUAGCUUUGUUUUAAGAGGCAACAGUGAAAAGAAGAUGAUUGUGGAGUUUUGAGAUUGGUUUACUCAUCUCUUUAUUCUCACAAGGAAUUGGUAAGCAAAUCCCGAUUUCCUCCCAAGUUUGCAAUUCUCUCUCAUUUUAUUAUUUUCUAAUGUGACUAUAUAAAUCUACUUGAAAAAAUGCCAAAAGUAAGACAAUUAAUUAGGGGUGUAAAGAGUUUUGAAAUUGCUUUUUGAAAUGUUGAGUUUAAGGACAAAUAUGAGUAUGAAACGUUUAUAUAACCCUUACAUAAAAAACUUAUUUUCUUCUUUUUAUUUUUUUAUUUUUUAAAAUCUUUUUCUGUUUUUAUUUUAUGAAAAAACACAUUUUCUCUCAUCUUUCUCUAACUUAUUUUCUCCCAAAGCUCUCUUACAAUUACUUAGAAUUUUGUGGCUUUAUCUCUUGAAUAAACUCCCUUCUUAUUAAGUGUUUAUGUCAUUUUUUUUCUGAUUAUAGAUAGUCCUCUUAGGUUUUUGAUGUUUCUAACUCAUUUAUUCUCCUCUUACUGAAACAUAUAAAUCUCAAGUAUAACUCAUAGUUAAUUUUAUAAUUGUUCUAGAUAUCUCUAGUUGUUUGAUAUAUAUUUAGAUAAACUUUUUUGGUUAUUUUUUUAUCUUGCAAACAUCUAGCAACUUCCAUAAACUUCAAAUGUUUAAUCCCAAAUCAACUAUAUACUUGUUUCAUGUGAUUUAUGGUGAGUUUACUACACAUGUUUUAAGAAGAUUUUAACUACUAUUUUUGUAUCUUGCAAACAUCUAGCAAACAUCUUUCUUAAAUAUCUCUCUCGCAACUUCCAAACUUCAAAUGUCCAAUUCUAAAACAAUUGUACAUAUACUUUUACACAUCUUUUAGGAAAUUUUUAGCUACCAUUUUUUGUAUCUCACAGACAUCUUGUAAACAUUUCGCAGAUAUCUCGCAAAAUCAUCUCACAACUUCCAAACUUCAAAUGUCUAGUGUCAAAUCAAUUAUAUACUUGUUUUAUGUGAUUAGGGUGAUUCUACAUAUGUGCACUUUUGUUAUUCUUAUAGUUAAUUAUUUUGAUAUAACUAAGAGGAUAUUAUUGAUCAUCACAUUUAUUUCACAAUAUAUACAAUUGAAACAAAAUUCAAUAAAAGCUUAGAUUAUUUUUUUAGGAAACCAACUAGUUAAGAUCAACACCUACAAUUUUUUGUUCUGAACAAAAAAAGACGUUCUUGGUUCUAAUCUCUCCCGUUGAUUGUAUGAAAAAAGAAUGAAUUUCCUAUAAAGUAUAAGAUGUUUGAGAGAGAAAGAAAGAGUUGUUUAGAGGAGUAUAAAAGAACGUAAUUUAACCAAAUUCACAACUAACAUUGUAAUGAUAUCACAUAUAUAGAUAGAUAAUAAAUGUGGGUAUUGGCUUUUAAUAACAAUAAUAAAGAGAUAACAAAAAAAUGUGUUAUUUAAUUAAAACUAAAUCAAAAGCCGCCAUGAGCACGAAAAAUCAAAUACAGUGUAGAAUCAUUCUUAAUUUGAUAAUGUUCAAGAGUCUUAUCAUCUUCAACAGUCUUGCGACCGAAAAUUAGCCUUUGAGAAUAAGAGGCUACUCCAUUAAGAUCUUCAAUUUGAUCCUUCACAUCCACAAUCGUAGCUGUUGGUUCAAUUUCUAAAUUAAAUGUCUCCCCAGCAAACGUCCUUACAAACAUCUGCAAUUGUUAUUAAAAUUUGAACACCGACAAAUUAGUAAAUCAAAUUAAUUCAAAAACUUAAACUUGUAGAUGAAAUUCAAAUGGGUUUACCUUUGAAAUAUUAUGAUACGAUUGAUUUGUGUAGUUUUGUUUGAGUGAUUGAUUUACAAUUGAAAGAGAUGAUAUAUUUAUAGUGGUAAAAGAUAGACAGCGAUAGGUGUUUUUUUCUAGUAAUUAAUUAAUGUUUAUGGAAGAAAACGAUUUGUUUUUAUUUUAUUUUAUUGGGAACUAAUUAACAAAUGUUUAUUUAAGUUCAUAAACGAAAUUGUACAUGACUUUUGGUUUCUCUAACUCUUUGGAAAAUGAAAUUCUUAAUGUGGUGUUAAUUAAGAGUCUAUUGAUUACUACUCUUUUUUGCCAAGGAUUACCAUUUGUAAAAAGUAGUUAACCCAAUACUCUCUAUCAAUACGGCGAUGAUUGGGAAACUUCAAACGAAAAAAGAAAAAGAAAUUAAAAAUUAUCUCACAUUUUAGGCAAUAAGCCUCACCACCUCCCUCUACACAAUCAUACCAAAAACAAUUGCAACUAAACUGAAGUGCACGCUUCCUGGCACCAUCUCUGAAAACCAACUGGCUUUUGUGAAGGAUAAGCAAAUUACUGAUAUCAUUUUAAGGUAUCAGGUGUUACUUCAAAAUUCAAGUUUAGAUGCAUCAAAAUGUCAAAAGAUGUCGAGUAUAUCAAAAGAGUAUCAUGGUUCAUCAAGUGUAUCAAAGUUCAAGGGUUAUCAAAAAGUAGCAAAUGCAUAUCAAGUGUAUGAAGGAAUAUUAUAUGUAUCAAAUGUGUAUUAUGUAUAUUAUGUCAAAUGUAUCAUGGAGUAUUAAGUGUAUCGUAUAUGUAUUAAGUGUACCAAAUGUGUGUUAGUAACGAAUGCAUUUGUGACAUUUUAAAUCUUACAUAUGUAAGUUGAGUUUUGAUUUUGUCAUUUUUACAAAUAACAAAUGUGUGUGCUAUUGACUUAAUUAUAAUUUGUUGUCAUUUUUGCAAUUGCUCCUUUAUAUAUACUAGAUAACUUAAAAUAUGCGUUGAACAUAAAAACCUUGUUAGUAUAUAUUUUUGCUAAAAUGAAUAAAUAGUAUGCAAUGGUAAAUUUUAAAAAAUAGUACUACUGUAUAAAGAUAUACUUAAACGAGUACUUUAUAUACAAUGUUUUUUCUUACAUUUCCAAUAUUUGUAUUCAACCGAAUUUUCAUCAUUUUCAUCGAGAUGCCUUUGAAAAGUGUAACAUAUAAUUGUCGUGUGAGAAGACAUUUUGUGGAAGAUAAAUUCCAACAUGUGGUAUUGUUUGUCCUUGUGCCUUGUUAAAGGUCAUUGCAAAACUAAGGCGUACUGGAAAUUGUUUCCUCUUAAAUUUGAAUGGAUACCCUUCAUCAUUUGCCGGACUUAAAAGUAUAUGCGGUAUGAAGACAUGUUUGCGCCAAUAUGUUGGCCCAUUGCUAUUUCAGCAAAAAUCACAUGUUUUUCAAAGUCUCGACACACCAUUCUUGUCCCACAAAGACCAUUUGAUGGGUCUAAAUUUCUUAGAAGUAUUAUAGGACAAUCUUUAAAAUAAGUUUACGUGGUGGAAGUUCAUUUGGCAAUAAGGAAUUUAGAAAUUCUUGUUGUUAAUCUGAUGAAAAUUGGAGAAAACUCAGGAUUAUAUUCGUAUUGUAAUAAGAAAGGAAAGUAGAAAUUAUUGGUUGUUAAUGACGUCGGCGAUGACAUACAAUGAACUUGGAUAAGAAUGCGGCAAUCGAGGACAUAGGCCAUAGAUAGAGUCCAAGAAAUUCCAAGAACGUGUAGUUAGAAGCUGAAGCGUGGGAUAAAGAAUAUCGAUUUUACUAAAUAAUCAUAAAAAUAAAGAAAAUUCAAAACUUCGAAUUAAAAUCUACUUUAAAAUAUUCAAAGUUUUGAAGACACAAAACAAAGAAAACAUGAUCACUUAAUAGAAAAAAAAGUUUACCUCCACGACUACUUAUUCUAUUUUGGUCUUCCGCGACAGUUAUUUGGUGUCAUAAAAUAUACAAAAAUAAUUUAUUUAAUUUAUUAAAAUAAAAUUUAUUUUAAAUCCAAAGUUUAUUAAAAUCAAAUUUUUUCCUAAUUCUAAAAACAUUAAACAAUUUAUUCAUUAAAAUAAAACAUCUCCAAAACCCUUUCUCUUCUUCUUCUUCUCUUCUUUUUUUUUUCUUCUUCUUGGUGGAAGAUCAACGAGUCGCCCCUCCUUUUAGAUUUUUCCUCCCUUCCGGUAACCAUCUGUCUCCCUCUCUCAUGCACUCUGAAAACGACGAGACUUUUCGUCAAUGACACGCCCGAAAUCCCCCUCUUUCUCUCCUUCAGCCGACGCCACCACCCAACACCCCUUGCAUUGGUGAAUCUCAACUAUUAUUUCUAUUUUAUGUAUUUAUACAGUAUAUUAACUUCAAAUGCUUUUAUUUUACCCUCAAUGUGAUUAAUUGAUGGUUCUAUUUAUGAAAAACAUCCCUCAUAGUUUUGUUUUUAUAGAAGAUGUGUUUGUUUUGUCUACCAUCAUAUUAAAUAUUGUUGUUUAUGUUCAUUUUUCUAAUUUGAAUCUAAUUUUUUUCUUUAUGGUUGGCUAUGUGAUGAAGCAUUCUGGUAGCUUACAAUGUGUUUGAUGAAAUGCCUCAAUGAAGCAUUUGGUUGAUUUUUAAUUGAUUUUUGUUUGUUCUAAUUAGCAAAUCAAGGCCAAGGGAGAUUUCAUGGCUAUGGGCUCAAGCUUUGAGAAAAAGAGAAUGAAAAAUAAAAUGUGAGAUUUUAAACUUUUAUGGUGUAUAGGGUCUUUUUGUUUGUCUAUGAAUUUUCCAAGUGAAUUUAAGUACUCUUGAUUUUUCUAUUGAUAUUUUGUUUAUGGUUGCUAUUCAGUUCUAUUCUAAUUGCAUGAUAUUUAUAGUAUAAACAAACUGUAUAUAUAAACUUGAACACAAGUACUUUUAUCUAACUCAUUACUAAAUUAUUGUAAUUUGGUUACUCUUGAUUUACUAAUGAUUGAAAGAUUAAAAAAAGUUAUGAACAUUUUCACUAUGAUCCUACUCCUCUUAGAUAGAGAGGAGGAUGAUAUUUGUGAGGUAAGACAUUUGCUAUUAAACCUAAAUGCAUCAUUGGAUUCCAUUUUUCAUUGUUAUUAUCUUUGAAAAAGAAGCAUAACCUUCACUCUCUUUUUCUUUUUGUCUAUAUUAUGAUCUUGCAAUCUUGGAAGCAUUAGGGUUUCUUUUAUAAUAUAAAAUUCUUUUAUUUUAUUUGGAUUGAAAUUAUGUCUUGCUUUGAUUGAAGGAUAGAGGAAGUGAUUAUUGAUAAUUAUAGGUAUGUUCUCUCUCCAUUUCUUACAAUAAGGAUAGUAGCAACAAAAAUUACUACAUGUUCUUCUAUAUUAAAAGGAAAGACAAAAAAAAAAAAAAAAAAUCAAAAGGUGGUAAAUUAAGAUUUAUUUUGUAUGGUAGAAUUUUAUUUGCCACUUAUCAUGCUAGAUCUUUCCAAGAGGAGUAAAUUUGAAAAUUUUGAAAUACACCACUGCUUGAAACAUAAAUCGCGGUGUAUGUUAUACACAUUGGAAAUGGAUGUUUAUCCUCUGUAAUGAAAUUUUGUUUAUGAUUUUUUUUGGAUUUAUUAGGAAGUAGAAGUUAAUCUUUUCUUGCAGACAAAAAAAAGAUAUAUCCAAUGGUAAACUAGUUUUUGGAUAUCUCCCAUUUGAAGUUACUUUAAACUUGCAAGAUAAGAGGAGGUGUUUAUGUACUUGCUUAUAACUUCAGUUUCAGUUCCGUGUCUUUACCUUUUUUCUGUUUAUUAAUCCCCUUUUUCACCUUCAAAACCAUAACAUAGCGACACACACGCAGUACCUAAAGUAAAGUUCAAAUAAGUCUAAGCAUGUGUUACCUAUAGUAGUAUAUAAUGUGUUCAAAUAAUUUAUGGCUAAUUAGAGGAAGUUUUUGUAGCAUUGAGGUGAGGUACUAAAUCGAUUAAGGUGAGAGAGAGACAACCGUCAAAGGAGAGAGGGGGGGAGCCAGGAAUGAAAGAAAAAGAGAGAAAUUCACAUGAAUAUUUCCAACAGUUUUUGUGGAAAUUAAACUCCAUAGGAAAGCAUUAUCUAAAUUGGUUUGGUGAUCUCUUUUAGUUGCUUAUUAUAGUUUUACUGUGGAGACCAAAAUUUGAUGUCUUGAAUAAAUAUAAAACGAUUCUCAUUUCUAUUUUGUGAUUAGCUAGUUGAGCUUAUUUCAAUAGUUAUCAAUUAAGAAGUAUGGUUGUUGUUGAAAAAUUAGUCCUUUAACUGUAUGAAACUAUAUUUUCUUCCUAUGACUACCUUAUGACAUUUUGAAUAAUUGAGAAUUGAGGAUUAGCAGAAAGUUCUCUUACUUCAAUAUAUUUGAAUAUGAAUGUGUAAAGCAGAUUUCAUAGUUCUUGUACAUAAAGUAAAGCAACACAGAGGUAAGUUCAUAGUUAUUGUAUCACAUUUAUAUAUAUGUGAUUGGCUUAUAAUUAAAUAAAUAUGAAUGUGUGUAUUUAUUUUUUUUUCUUAGGAAGAGUUCGAUAUUUUUUAAGUAAAAGUUCAUGUUCAUGGAAACCUUUUGUUUGGGGACCUACAACUCGUAGGAAUUGCUGCAAUUCGACCCUCCUAUCAAUAACCCACAAGCUUGUCGAUAUCCAAUGCAUAAUUGUUUGGGAUUCUACCUUGGUAUGUUACUUGUAAUUAUAUUUUUCAUUUUUAAAAAUCUGUAAGUUCAUGUUUGAUAUAAAACUUUGUAUGUAUAUAAUUUGUAUGUGUAUAAAACUUUGUAUGUAUAUAAUUGGUAUGCACAACCAUUUUAUUUUUUGAGAUCUAGAUAAUGUUUUGGAGAUGGUUUUGUUGGUAGAGGAUUGAUUCUAUUGGGCGGUGUUUCAUAAUGUUUUGAGAAGUUCUUUGUAUAUUGUACUGAAUUAUGCCUAGAUAAAUUGAAUUUGAUUAUAGUUUCUGCAAGUUUUACUUCUUGUGGACAUGUAAAAUUAUGCUUAGGUAUUUUAAUGCAUUAUUUUAAAUCUUUGCCUAGAGUUUUUGCUAUGAUUCAAUAUGGAUUGUUGCAAAGGCAGUGGAUAAGUUUCAUUAUUAUGUUAUUGAACUCCAUGAACAGCGAAUGUUGUUAGACUUAUAUUGGAAAGUUUCAAAACUUUAUUUCUCUCUUUUUCAUCGGCUUGCAACCCUUAAUAUGUAAAUUUGAAAAAACAUUUUGUAGGUAGUUUUCUUCAUGUUUUCAUGAUUGGGAAGGUUUGACUGAUAGUGUAGACUAUGCUUGUAGAAUAAAAUUUGUGUUGUAUAUAACUCUUUGGUCGUAUAUAUAUAUAGAGAUAGACAUAUAGAUAUUACUAUAUGAUUGAAUUUAUUUAUACUUACCAUAUGUUCUCAUGUUAAUAUGAAUUUAUGCAUGUAACACUUAAAAUUCUUAUUCAUAUGCAUGCUCUUUCAUUUUUUCUAACUUUUCAUUGGUUGGUGACAAGGAAGAAAAAUAAUGUUCAAGGAUUGAAUCUCUGAAAGGGGACAAAAUAAGUAAAACACCCAAAGAAACAAUAGAACAAAAAAAAAUACAAGAGCCUAAGAAAUAAAUAGAGGAACCAAAAACAACAAACCAAAAAAAAAUCAAGCCUUUGAAAAUUCAAAGACAACAAUGAAGACAAAAGCUUUUUAUUUAUUUAUUUUUAUUUUUAUAAUGAGAGCAAUGUCAUUGACAGAUGAAUAAAAUAAGAGAGAACAAACUCAUUCAAUUGUUUCAAGCUCAGUUAGGUUACAUACUUGCCACAUUAUGAUUUGAGUGCAAAGCAAGAUGAGAAAGUCAACAUGAUAGCAACAAGGCCACAAAACCAACCCAAUGAUGAGUGACUUUUACAACAAGAUCUUGGUGGGUGACUUCAUCAAGAUUGGAAAUCUUUUUCAUAAACACCAACAUUAUAAGAGAUAGAUUACACUAAAAAAGAAUUCUUAUAUAUGUGAUAAUAAGGUAGCUCUUUUGUAACCUUGUCAUGCAUGUAAUGUUAUCGAUGCAUGUAGUGAUAGUUAAGGCUCAAUGUUGAAAUUUUCUAUAGGAGUUGUACUCUCUUUUCCUGUGAUUGAUGCUUAUAUUCAUGUUGUCUUUGUAGAUUCAACCGAAGUCUACAACUUCAUGAGUUUCCUUUCAAAGAAUAUUUUCAGAGAUGAAGGCUUACUAGUUGAUCGUUUAUGCUUGUUGAGAAAAUCUUGUUAUAUGUAUUCUUAUGCUCUUUACAAUGAUUUUGAUUAAGGACUAGAAUUAUGUACUAGUAAAUUGUAGAAACUUGAUUAGAAAUGUAUGAAUAUUACAAAGUGUAUUAUAGCUUAUAUAUGUCGUCAAUAGCGAAACAAUGCCAUUUAAAUUUUCAGAAAAACUGUCAUGAUUGCACUAUAUUUGACUGGAAAUAAUUAUCGUCAAUAUUAAAACAAUGACAUUUUUAUAAGAAAAACUGUCACGAUUGCCCUAUAUUUGACAGGAAAAAAAAUGUCGUCAAUAGCAAAACAAUGACAUUUAAUUUCUAAAAAAAAACUGUCACAAUUGACAUAUUCUUGACAUUUAAAAAAUGUCAUAAUAAACGAAUUUGCGACAUUUUUAAAUUGUUGUUAAUACGCAAAUGAUGACAGUUACUUGUUGUCAUAAUAUAAAAUAUGACAGUUAUUUGUUGUCAUAAAAUAGUAAUUAACGACAUUUAUUUUCUGUCAUUAAAAAACUUAUUGCCAUAGUUUUAGAAAACUGUCCUGGAAUGACUUUCCAUGACUCCGCUUUUAUGACUGUAAAUAACUGUCACGAAUUUUAAUCGUGACAGAAAAUAACUGUCGUCGUAGACCACUUUUCUUGUAGUGGAUAUAUAAGAAAUUAAGAGGUAAUUGACGUUGACUACAAAACAUAAAAAAUACUAAUUAACAGCCACAUAAUCGAAGGGAAGCAAGAAUAGUAGAACCAUCUGUUAUGUUAUAGUCUGAUAGACUUAGACUUCUUCCAUCUUCAAGCAUCUUUCCAGCAUAAAUGAAUCUGAUAUUGCUUGGAAGAUAUCCUUCCUUUUCAUAGAGUUUAACUUUCAAUCCGUCAGUUCUGAUGAAAAUGGAAACCUUGAUUGCUAUUGUAUUGCCGUUCGUUAAUUUCACGAAGAUUUCAGUUGGCUCUGGCCAAAGCUUUCUCCUCAACCACCUGCUUCGUAAGUUUGCAUUCAUAGCAAUAAACAUUUCGGCAUUCUUUCCCUUCUCAAGAAAAUCAAAGACUUCAAAAAGAAGGUCUUCGUCAGAUGCCGGAUAAUGCUUGCACAGCUUCAAUGGCUGCUAAUAUAGUUGGCAUAUCGACAUUAUUGUUCGAUGAAGUAUAUUGAUCAGUUGCCAUGACUUAAUCUUCUUCUUCAAUUCCACUUUUUAGUAUUCUUUUAUUUGUUUAAAAUUUAUGAGAGAGGAAGGGUUAGGAAAGAGGAUGUAAGAGAUAUGAUAUAUAAAGAGGAAAGAGAGAGUGGGAAGAUGAGGGGUCAAAGAAAUGGGAAGAAGUGUCUUGAUGCAUGGCGUUAAACAACAUUCAAUAAGCACUGUUUUUAAUUUUUUUUUUGAAGUAAUAUCAAUAUUAAGAAGUCCAUGAGUCUUUAGUACUUGACUUCUCUCUUCCCUUGGGUUUCUUUUGAUUAAGUCCAUUAUAUUAAUUGAAAUAAUUCACAAAUUUCAAGUUAAGUAGAUUAUUUUUUAUAAGAAUUUGAAAAAAAAGGAAUUCUUAUAUGUAAUUACAAUUUUUGAAACUAGGGUUCACGGACUCAAAACUAGUUUGAAUGCAAUAUUUUCACUGAGUGUAAUUAGUAAAUAUUUGACAUGAUACAAAGUCAUUCAAAAAUAGUGCCUUAGGCCAUGUUUCAAGUUAAUUUAUAACAAAUAUGAGAUUUUUUAAUAUUUUAAUUUAAAUGUCAUUGAAUUUUUUUUUAAAAGUUCUUCAAAUGAAAAUAAAAAUUGGACAUUUUUAAAAAUAGUAAAAUAAAUUAAAAUAUUUACAAGAUAUAACAAAAUUUUGGAUUGUAUCUCUAUAAUAUAUCAAUUCUCAUCGUGAUAGAAUUUAGGUUAUAAAUAUUUUGUAAAAUUUAAUACUUUCAAAAAAUUUCCUUUAUUUAAUUUAAUUUAAAUAAUUAAUAAUUAUGUAUAUUGGUGUGUUUUAAAAUUUAAUUAUAUGUCAAACAUAUUCAAAUCUUUAUGCUUUUGCCAUUUAUUUUCUUCAAGUUUUAGUGUGGAGGGGAUUCAUAUUUUUCAUAUACAAAAAAUGAUAAAACAAAUAUGAAAAAUAAAAGUUAUAACGUGUUUAUUUAUUUUUAUUCUUUGAAUCAAAAUGUACCAUUUUUUAAUUUUUAUUUGCGUAAUAAAAGAAAUUCUUUUUAUUUACAUAUAUAAAGAAAUUCUAUAUUUAUUCGCUUAAAACAAUAAGAAAUUACACUACCUAUUUUGAUUAAAAAAAUCUUAUUUAAUACAUAAAAUUAUAAACAAAUUUUUAAUCUUUUUUAGUUAAACCAACUUAAACUAUUUCAACGAAUAAUUUAUUUGACUUGUUAUCCAAAAAAUUAUAGUAAUAAUUUUAAAAUGGAAAUGAAAGUAUUAAACUAAAAUAAAUAAAUAAAAUCUCAAUUUACUCUACAUGUUAAGCCCAUGGUUUUACAUCAUGAGCCAAACAUGUGCUUGGCAUUAAAUGCCAAACCCACGUGAUGCCAUGCCAAGGGGUCAAACACCCUCUGAGAGGGUGAGACCCUAUGUUUAAGUCACAUAGAUAUCAUUUAAGUAAACACUCAACUACUUAUCAUAAAGUCGAAAAUGAGUGAAUUUCAUCUUUGUGUGAUUACGUUUGCAGUUUCCCACUCAGUCGUGUCUCCAAAAUGAUAAGCACAUUGAGUUGGCAAACUGGUCACUCUCAUUUGUACAAAUCAAAGGAUAAUCUCUGGCAAACAAGAGUUCAUAAUACACUUAAUAUUAAGACAAAUUUACCUAGGUCAUUCUAAUGAAAUAGAAACUUAACAAGUUAAGAAAGUUACAUCUAAUGGUUACUAUUUAAUGGUACAGUCUUAUGCAAACACAUUUCAUAGAAUACCUUCACUCGCAUGUCACCUACAUAAAUGUUUUGGAUUAUUACAUUUGUAUCAAAUACAAAGUGAGUCGUAUCCAUAGUAAACGGUUAAAUUUCAGAUCAACUUGAAGAAUAAUAGAUCUUAAAGUGGCAUUAUAAAUAAAAAUGGUAAAAUCAUUUCUUUAAUAAUUAUGGAAGUACAUACAAAAUAUAAUACUCAAAAUUCUAUAAAAAGAUGUCUCCAAGACCCAAACAAUAAAAAAGAAUAACAGUAAUUAUGUUGUAAUGAAAAGAUAGGAGAAUUGUUGGGAAUCACCCAUCCAAAUUUUCACUUUACAAAAUUAGCAUUUCCUUUAGAAAAAAAGCUAGUUAAAAUAAUUUUUUCUAUAGAUGCAUCCGAACCCAAGAUCAACCCUCAAAUUUAGUUUAAAAGUUUACUUUUUCUAACUUAUCGAUUGUUUUAGAUCUUCUCAAUACAUUUUGUCAAUACUCUCAUUCUAAAUGUUAGUACGAACCAACAUUUGUUAUGUAAUAUCUUUUAUAUUUUUCAAAAUAUAAAAAUGAUACAAUAAUCAUCCUGAAUUACUUUUGGUAGUUGGAAGACCUAGAUUGGAAUUGAAGAAAUUCAUACCAUUAUGAAAAAGUAUUUACGCUAAAGAUUUUAAGAAUUACAUAAUACAUAGUUUGGAUAUAACAUUUAAAAAGUUGUAUGUUAUUGUGAUUUUGCUGCUAAGAGUAUUAUGUGCAUUCACAACAAAAGGAAGAACAAAUUAUUAUUGGAGAGUAAUAUUAGAAAAUACAAAUGAAAGGUAUCAAUGAGAUAUGGCAUUUACAAAUGACAUGACUUUGUCUUUGUUUGUUAAACUUUAGGUCCAAAAAUUCUUUAAUUUGGCUAACUUUAAUUUUAUAGUUACUAAGUGUUUUUAUUUCCCAUCUUUUAAGAAAGAAAUUUGUUCGAUAAUUUUUGUUUUUUGUUUCUAAUUUCAUAAAUGUUUCUUCGAUGGUAAACAAGACGUUCGACUUAAUUAAUUAAUUUAUUUUUGUUUCUAAUUUCAUAAAUGUUUCUUCUUUCUUCCGAUUUAUUAUUCUCUUCUUCAUAUUAUUAAUUUGUUCAUACUACUACUUCUUCAUAUUUCCACUUCUGGUUUACAAUUUCUUCAUUUCCUCUUCCAGAAUUUCUUUUUCCUUAUUCAUCUCCCAUCUUCUUUUUUCUUUCUUGGUAUAAGAUCUAAAUGAUCUAAAAAUCGUGUACCAAUUUCUAAACGAUCAGUUGUCUAUCACAGAUAAACAGAGAUAAAUCACUAUCACUAAUAGAUCGUUUAGCUUUGGUACAAGAUCAUUUAGGCUAAGUACAAGAUCGUUUAGGCUUGGUACAAGAUCGUUUAGACUUGGUAUAAGGGUACAAGAUCGUUUAAAUUGAAUACAAGAUCGUUUAGAGUAAGUAUAAAAUCGUUAUUUCAUGUGUGUGUGUGACCACUUAAUUGCGAGGUAGUUUUGUUAUUUCAAGUGGUGGACUUUUGGAUUUUUUUUCAAAAAUAAAACAAAAAGCAAAAAUAUUUACACCAUACAAAAUUUUGAACAAGAAAAAAAUCCACAAGCCCACAACGUGAGAUAACAAAAAUAUCCCUGCAAUUAAUUGAUCACACACGUAUGAAAAACGAUUUUAUACCCAGUUUAAACAAUCUUGUAGCAAGUAUAAAUUAUGAUCUUGUACCCAGUCUAACGAUAUCUUGUAUCUAAACAUAAUCUUGUAUCACACCUUAAUGGUCUUGUAUCAUUGUACCUAGUCUAAACGAUCUUGUACGCACUCUAAACAUAACCUUGUACCAAACCUAAAUGAUCUUGUACCCUUGUACCCACUAUAAACGAUCUUAUUCCUUUAUAUCCAAUAUAAAUGAUCUUGUACCCUUGUACCUAAUCUAAACGAUCGUGUACCAAGUCUAAACAUAAUCUUGUACCAAACCUAAACGAUUUUAUACCCUUGUACCCAGCCUAAAUGAUCUUGUACUCUUGUACCCUAGUCUAAACGAUCUUGUACCCAGUCUAAACAAUCUUGUUCCAAAUCGAAACGAUCUUGUACCCUUGUACUCGGCCUAAACGAACUUGUACCCUUGUACCUAGUCUAAACAAUCGUGUACCCAAAUCUAAAUAUAAUCUUGUACUAAACCUAAAUGAUCUUGUACCCUUGUACCCAACCUAAGCAAUCUUGUACCUAGUCUAAACGAUCUGUUACCUAGUCUAGAAAAUCUUGUACAAAACUUAAACGAUCUUGUACCCAUGUGCCUAGUCUAAACGAUCUUGUGCCUAGACUAAACAAUAUCGUACCAAGCCUAAACAAUCUUAUACCCUUGUACCCAACCUAAACGAUCUUGUACCCUUGCACUCAACCUAAAUAAACUUAAUUGUACUCUUGUAUCUAGUAUAAACAAUCUUGUACCCAGUCUACGCGAUCUUAUACUAAAUUUAAACAAUCUUGUACUCAAUUUAAACUAUCUUGUAUUAAAUCUAAACGAUCUAUUAGUAAUAGUGGCCUAUCUCUAUCUAUAUCGGGGAUAGACAACUUAUCGUUUAGAUCUUGUACCAAUAUUAUUUAAAUUUUGUUCCAAGAAGAAAAAAAUAAAAUAAGAGAUGAAGAAGAAGGAAGAAAUUCUCGAACCGAAAAUUUAGAAAUCACGAACAAAAAAAGUAAGAAUAUGAAAAAUGAGAAGAAAUAAUAUGAAGAAAUUAUGAUAAAUAAAUCGCAAAAAAGAAGAAAAAAUGUUAAGUGAAGAAUUAUCCCACAAUAUUUAGAACCAACAAGAGAUAAGUUUGGAAAUUUAUGAAAAAACAAUAGUAGCUUCAUGGACUUUAAUUUUUUGUUACAUGGAUCGUAAAUAUAUUUUGAAUUUUGUUACAUUUAUAUAAAUUAACUUAAAGUGUACUAUCAUCGAAAUUCAAAAACUAAAUGAGGAAACUAAAGAGGUUUCUAAAACUUAUGUACCAAGUUUACAUAUUGACCGAAAUUUAAAAAUAAGAAAGUAUUUUACCCUUUAUAAUCGAUAGAUUUUGUUAUAUUUAACAUUUUCUAAAAUGUUGCUAUUUAUAAAAUUGAUAUUCCAUUAUAAUUAUCCUAAUUCUCACUACAAAAUUUGCAAAUUGAAUCCAUAUAUGGUUGGAAGAAAAUGAUAAGUUCUAAAUGAUGUAGAUAGUAUUGUUUUGAUUUAGAAGUACAUUGGGCGUAUGUAUUUUGUACCACCCAACUAAGGUAACCAACAUAUUAUAGAAAGGUACGUAUUGUUACCACAUUUAAAACACUCCAAUCCUACCAUUAUGGAAGCCAUUUUUACAUUAACACACGCGUCGAGAGAAACAGAAAUAAUCGGCCUCAGUUGAACGCAACAAUUUCCCAACAACAAACAAAACUGGGUUUCACACGUUGGCUUCUCACAACAUUAUAUUUGCUCGAAAACGACCACGUACCCACCCCAAACUAAAUCAAUUAGCCAUUUGCAUUCAAAAUCCUGCUUCCAACUCCAAUCUAAUGACACAUGCUAUUUCCCAUUCAUUUGCAUGCCUAACCCAUACGUGGAACUUCAACCAAAACUGAUCACGAAGCUCCACCAUUACUGUACUUUCACAAGCUUCAAAACCCCACAACAGAUUCCCUCUCUCCACGUUCCCUACAUGCACCCACUCCUCAUCCCCUAUAAAUACAAAUCACAUUCACCACUCACUUAUUCACUCAACUUCUUCAAUACACUCCUCUUUUUACUUCAUACAACUCUUCAACAAUGGCGAGACUCACAAGCAUCAUUGCCCUCUUGGCGUUGGCUUUGGUGAUUGCAGAUGCUCACCGCACCACCAUCACCACCGUCGAAGUGGACGAAGAAAACCCAGGGCGGAUGGAGAGGUGCCGUCAGAUGCGGGCGCGCGAGGAGAUCGGCAGCUGCGGGCAGUACCUGUCGCAGCAGAGCAGGUAUGUUUUGCAGAUGCGUGGAAUCGACAACCAAAGGAGGAGAGGAGGACAGCUCUUCGAUGAGUGCUGCAGUGAGCUCACGAAUGUGGAAGAGGAGUGCAGGUGCGAACUCUUGCAGGAGAUUGCCAUGGAAGAACAGAGAAGAGCACGAGGCCAAGAAAGAACGCAGAUGCUUCAGACAGCUAAGAACUUACCAUCCAUGUGCGGUAUGCGCCCACAACAAUGCUACUUCUAAGCGCUUAAGCUACGCACGCCACCCCAAUAAACAACAGGAGAGCAGUACAUCGUCGUGUGCUUUUUGUCUUUAUGUUAAAAUAAAUAAAAAAGACUAGUAAAUUCAGUCAAUCUCAAUCGCACUAUUUCUCUCUCUGCUACUUAUAUUAAAUAAAAAGAGCUACGGUUUUUGAGUGGAACUUGUUUAUGUAAUGAAUUGAGAAUAAUCAUAAGCCGGAAAGAAGCAGAUAGAACUUAGUAUUAUUUGUAAAUUGAGUUGUAGAACAGAGAAGAUUAGACUAGAAUACAAGCAACAUGAAGAGAAAACAGAGAACAUAAGCAUGUUGAAAUGAUGAGUUUCAAAUACCACCACGAAGACGAAGGACAAGGUGGAGGGUGGACUCCUUUUGAAUGUUGUAAUCGGCCAGUGUACGUCCAUCCUCCAAUUGCUUUCCAGCGAAAAUUAGUCUUUGCUGGUCAGGAGGGAUACCCUCCUUGUCCUGGAUUUUAGCCUUAACGUUAUCAAUGGUGUCUGAGCUCUCAACCUCCAAUGUGAUGGUCUUUCCUGUCAAGGUCUUCACAAAUAUUUGCAUUCCUCCACGAAGACGCAACAACACGCGGAGAUCUGAUUCCGUUUGAAUGUUAUAGUCGGCUAUAGUCUUACUAUCUUCCAAUUGCCUACCAGCUAAAAUUAAUCUCUGUUGGUAUGGUGGGAUGCCCUCUAUAUCUUGAAUCUUAGCCUUUACAUUUUCGAUAGUAUCAGAAUUUUCAACCUCAAGGGUUAGUGUCUUUCUGUGGAGAGUUUUCACAAAGAUUUGCAUCUGUCAUAACCCCAGUCAAACGAAGUCAAUUAACAAUUGAAUAUAGGUCACGUAAUCAAGAUUACUCUGGAAAAACGUUACUCAGGUACCAAAUCAUAUUUCCUACAAUGCAAUCUAAAUCGAAAAUAUCGCCAUCAAAGACGUCUGUCGAAGAACAUAAUUCUAGUAACCAGAUUCAGUGCAUGUAUAAAUAAUCUUGAAGAAAAAAAAAAAUCAUGAUAACCAAAACAUAGUUGUUUUUUUUUUUAAUUUUUAAUUUCUAAAAAAAUUAAUGAUGCGUGGAGGAUUAUCCCCUUGAAAAUUUAGAAAAUAUUACUUUUAUCAUUUGUAGAUACCGUAUUUUGUCCUAUAUUUAUUUAUUAUAAAAGAAAAAAAAAGAAAAAGAAAUUAAAUUUGAAUUUGAAUUUGAAUUUGAAUCUUAAAUUUAUAUUUUAAAAAACAAUAAUAAUAAUAAUAAAUACAUUUAAAAAUAAAUAAUAAAAAUAAAAAUAAAAUGUUUGAUUUUCCUUCCUAUUUUUUCUCAACCAUCCCUUUUUCUUCGUCAUCACUCUCCACUUUCUCCCACUCUAUCACUUUCUCCCACUCUCCCACUUUCUUCCUAUUUCUCUGUAGUCUGCACUCCAUCUCGUGAUCUAAAAAAAACGAUGGAGCUUGCCCUAUAAAAAGGAAAGAGGAAAAAAGAAAAGGGGAUCUUUUUUUCUUAUUAUUGGAGGAUUUAGAAAGAGGGGAAGAGUGAAAGAAGAUCAAAAAGGAAUAACCUUUGGCAUUGAAGGGCAGACCUGCUGGUAAAUUUUUUCUUCUUUUUCCUCUUUUUAUUCUUAUUCUUGUUUAAUGAUUUUUUUUUCUUCUUGUUUGAUAUACUGCUUUUAAUUAUGAACUAUCGUGUUCAUCAUUUUACCAUCAUUUAACAUGUUAAUUUUAUUAUUUGUAUCUUUCUUAAUACUGAGCAUUCUACCUUCCAUUCUAUAUUAAAUUUUUUAUUUUUUAUUUUUAAAUAUUGAACAUUCUGUUCUGUGUUAAUUUCUUUUUAAUUGUUGGGUAUCCAUUCUGUGUAUCCAUUAUGUAUAUCCAUUCUGUGUUAAUUUUUAAAUAUUGAACAUUUUGUUCUGUGUUAAUUUCUUUUUAAUUGUUGGGUAUCCAUUCUGUGUAUCCAUUAUGUAUAUCCAUUCUGUGUUAAUUUUUAAAUAUUGAGCAUUCUGUUAUGUGUUAAUUUUCUUUUAUUACUGGGCAUCCAUUCUGUGUUAAUUUCUUUUUAAUUAAUUAGCAUCAUAUAUUUGUAUUUGGAUACUCAUUCUUCAUUGGCAUCCAUUUUACAGUUUUUGUUAAUUACUUUAUCCAUGUAUCCAUAUGGCAUACUCUGUUAAUAAUUACUGUUAUCCAUAUAUUAUCCAUGUUAAUAAUUAUGCAUGAUAUAAUUAAAUUUUGGCAACAACCAUUUUUCAUUUGGCCUAUUAAUUAAUUAGCAACUUGUAUGUGACAUUUUCACUCCCUCAUUCUAAUUAUUUGCAUGAUGUAUUAAUUAAUCAGUAUGCAUAUGUGGCUAUAAUUAUUUGAUAUUUAUUUUGGUGUGAUUAUUUAUUUCGCAAUAUUAUUUAUUUGCAUAUUGGGCCAAACCUACUUUAGCAUUCAACUGUUAAUUAUUAUUUGAUAUCCAUUUGGCCUCGUUUAAUUAUGCAUUAAUCAAUUAUUUUGCAUCCUGCAUUAAUCAAUUAUUUUGCAUCAUUUUGAAUUAAUUAAUUAUGUUGCAUGUGUUGUAUUAAUUAAUUAUCUUGCAUCCUACAUUAAUAUCUUUUACAUUUUGCAUAUAUUAUCAAUGUAUUUAUUUUAUCUCAGCAUAUUACUUCUAAGUAUUUUUCAAAUUUCAUAAUGUUUUGCCAUUGUUAUUAUUUUUUUUAUAAUAAUGUAAAUUGGAGAAAAAGUAUUGUUUUUUAUGGAUUUUAUAAUUUAAAAUCCAUAAAUACAUGAAAUUUUUCCGUUUGAAAUUUAAUUAAUAGAUUUUUUUUUUUAAAUUAACACAUUUCAUAUUUUAAAUGAGACUGAGUAGUAUUUUCUAUGAAUUUAUUAAUUCUAGAUAUAUGAAAUUUUUCAUUAAACACCUAUGAUAGAGAUUAAAAUAUCAAGUGUUGGUAUCUUAAUAUUCUUAAGGUGAAUAAAAAUAUUUUAAAACAAAAAUAAACUUAAUUUUUCUAAUGGCUCCUAUGCCACUCAUAAUCAUCAAUUCAUGCUUAGGUUUUACUUUCUUCGAUAUGAAUUGAUAAACAUGGGACAUUUAAACAAAACCUAAAUAAAAAUUUUAUUUUGUGAACCUCUAUAAUUUAAUUUAAAAGAUAAAAUUGGGUAACCAUUUUUUGGGUGUUGUAGGGUGCUAACACCUUCCCUACACACAACUGACUCCCGAACUUAAAUCUCUGAAUGUACGCAGACCAUUUUUUUUUUUUUUUUUGGGUGACCAAUCACACCCUAAUAUGGUUGGUGGCGACUCCAAAACUAUUUAUUAAAAUUAAAUAAACGGGGAGGUCGGCCGCUCCGCGUAGCGAUCACGUCGCGACAGCUUGGCGACUCCACUGGGGACAUUGCAAUGUGUAAGAGAGUCAAGCCAGUACAUUUUUAUCUUUUAUUCUUAUUAUAUUAUAAUAUGUUGGUUCACUUAAUUAUUUUUUUUUUUAUUGAUUCAUAUGUAAUAUUUUGUACUAUGUUAUUGGUACAUUUUUUUUCCAACAUGCAUUUACACACACUCACAAGCCCUCUACCCGGGCUACAACCUUAUAGGACUAGAAUUGAGGAUGGAGUAGUGUUGACCUUCGAGGGGUUUCGACUCCCGUGUAGGCACAUGAAAAAUCCUCGCUCAGAUUAAUUCUUUUGUUAUUUCUUAAAUAACAUUAGAAUAAGUUUGAAGACCUUUAAUUUCUAAGAGUUUAGAUGAUACCAACACCAUGUCAGUUUCUUUUUGACAUAUUUUAUCCAAAAGUCAAAUAUUCAAAUUAUUUUUAUUUAUUUAUUUUAACAAAGUUUCACAUUUUCCUAAAAUUUUAAAUAAUACAUAUUUCAUUUAAAAAAAAGAAUUUCAAUAACAGUAUUUUCUAUAUUAUUAUUAUUUUGAGUUUGAUAUUUAAAUUUUAUUUAUCUUAGUUCCCUAGAAAUUGGGUCAUUUGGCUUCAUGCAAUACUUUAAAGAAAGUAAUGUUUACAUUGUAGAGGUACAUGAAAACCUUUAUAUAUUCUAAAAUUAACUAAAUAUUAAAAAACAAUUAAGCUAAAGUACAUAAAAUUCUUAUUUCUUUUCUUUUCAUGUUUUUUCUUUUUUUUUUUUUUUGAUUUUUGAUUUUUGAUUUUUGAUUUUUAAUUUUUAAUUUUUUAAUUUUUAAUUUUUAAUUUUUAAUUUUUUAAUUUUUUUUCUUUCUCUUUCUUCCCUUGCUCUUUAGUCUUCAAAGUUUUCAAAAUAAUCAAAGUAAAACAUAGCUCACCCUACUCCAAUUCAUCAUCCUUACAAUACGAUGCAUAAAAGUCGAAUCGAAGAAGAACAAGAUAAAGACAUGGAUAAAAUGAGACAAGAUAUUAAUAGUCUUGGGGAACAAGUUUCAAAAAUACUGGAAUUGCUUUCAAUAGGAAAAGGAAAAGUCGUCAUAGAAACAGCACAAUCAAGCAAUCCAAUUCAAGACACCAAUGAUCCCAUUUAUCCCCCAAGAUUUAUGUCACGCCACAUGAACGUUACACAGUCUCAAACUGCUCGACACUAUGUUGCUAUGAAUCCACUUUUUGAUGUUCCACCUCCUGUCCCAGAUAUAGAACAAUUGGAAGCUCAGGCUAAAAUUCAAGACAUAAGGCAAAAUGAGAACACUUCGGCUAAGCAAAAACUAGAUGUUUUGGAAGAAAGAUUGCGAGCAAUUGAAGGGACUGAUGUUUAUGGAAAUAUAGAAGCAACACAGUUGUGCUUAGUGCCAGACUUGAUCAUUCCAGCAAAGUUUAAAGUUCUCGAAUUUGACAAAUAUGAUGGAUCAUCGUGUCCAAGGAGUCAUCUUAUAAGGUAUUGUAGAAAGAUGACAAUGCAUAUUGGUAAUGAUAAAUUGUUGAUCCAUUGCUUUCAGGACAGUUUGACUGGUCCAGCUACUCGAUGGUAUAUUCAAUUAGAUAAUACACACAUUCAUGUUUGGAAGGAUUUAGCUGAUGCAUUUCUAAAGCAAUAUAAACAUAAUAUUGAUAUGGCUCCAGAUCGUUUAGACUUGCAACGUAUGAAGAAGAAGAAUUCAAAAAACUUUAAAGAAUAUGCUCAACGAUGGAGAGAUAUGGUCGCGGAGGUUCAACCACCAUUAACAGACAAAGAAAUGACGUCUAUGUAUAUGAAUACUUUGCGGGCUCCAUUCUAUGAUCGAAUGAUUGGUAAUGCUACAACCAAUUUUUGUGACAUUAUUGUUAUUGGUGAAAGAAUUGAAUAUGCGAUAAAGCACGGGAGAUUAGCAGAGGCUUCAGCUGAGUAUGAGGGAUUAAAGAAAGGAACAACAUCUAAGAAGAAAGAAGAUAAGGUUCAUGCAUUUGGUUUUCCUAAUUUAGGGAACCACAAAUCAACUUUUGGCCAAAGAAAACAUGACCAAAGUUUUCCUUCAUAUAUAAGCAAUGUUUCUCAUGUCCCACAUAACAACUAUGUACCAACUCACUCUUUCUCUAGAGCCCAAAAGCCUAUUAAUUCAAACUCUUCUCAACCAUUUGUACAAGGUCAAAGUAGCGAGACCAACUCAGAUACAUGACAAUUUGAUCCAAUUUCCAUGACAUAUACAGAACUUUUACCUCAUCUAAUUCAAAAUCGACAGUUAGCUCCUAUCCCAAUGAAUCCUAUACAAUCUCCUUAUCCAAAAUGAUAUGAUUCAAAUGCUCGAUGUGAUUAUUAUGCCGAAGGAGCAGGACACUCAAUUGAAAAUUGUUUGGCUUUAAAAAGGAAUGUGCAAUCUUUGAUUAAUGAUGGAUGGUUAAGCUUCAAAAAAGUUGGUGAGAAGCCGGAUGUCAACAACAAUCCACUGCCUAAUCAUGAAAAUCCAAAAGUGAACAUUGUAGAUUGCUUUGUUUCAAAAGUGCAAAAAUGAAGGAGAAACAGUUUAUGCAUGUCCACCUGAUUUCGAGCUUAAUACUUGGGAUGUUGUAGAUAUACCUACAUUUUCAAAAGAAUUUCAAGAGUAAUGAUUAAGCUUUUAUUUGUCAAAUUCCUUUUAUUUUAUAGUGGCUCUACACAAGGCCACAAUGUUUUAUUUGCUUUACAAUAUGAAUGUACUGUUUUAUUUGUUAUUUAAUGAAAUCUUCGCAUUUUCCUUUCGUUCUUUCCAACUUCUUCUCUCUGCUUUCUUUCUUGCAUCUUGCAAAUUAAACACAAAAGUCCAAACUUUUUCAUAGACAACAUUCAUAAGAACGAAGAUGUUAGUAAUUCCAGUUCUACCCUUGAUACCUUAAUAUACACUAUGGAAUCUGACAAAGAGAGUGACGAUGAAAAUGCUGGGAGAAUAUCCUCAGAACUGUUAAGAUUAGUAGAAGAAGAAGAUAAGGUCUUAGGUCCUCACCAAGAGCUAGUUGAAGUAAUCAAUUUGGGUUCUCAGGAGGAAUUAAAAGAGGUAAAAAUUGGCACAUCAAUGACCAGUGAAACUCGAAAAAAAAUCAAUUUGUUACGUGAGUACUCAGAUAUUUUGCUUGGAGUUAUCAGGAUAUGCCGGGGUUAAAUACGGAUAUUGUAGUACAUCGUGUUCCUUUGAAGCCAGAAUGCAACCUAGUAAGACAAAAGCUACGUAAAAUGAAGCUUGAUAUAUUGUUUAAAAUAAAAUGGGAAGUACUUAAACAAUUCGAAACAGUGUUCCUCACAGUCUCCAAAUAUCCUGAACGAGUGGAAAACAUUGUUCCAGUAUCCAAAAAGCAAACAAAAAGACAGAAAAGUGAGAAUGUGUAUGGAUAGAGAUUUAAAUCGAGCUUGUCCAAAGACAACUUCCAUUUACCUCAUAUCGACAUGUUGGUGGAUAACACUGCAGGAUACUCAACUUUCUCCUUCAUGGAUGGUUUUUCAGAAUAUAAUCAAAUUAAAAUGACUGAAGAAGAUAAAAAAAAAAAAACAACAUUCAUUACCUGUUGGAGAACAUUCUGCUACAAAGUAAUGCCUUUUGGUUCAAAAAAAUGCUGGGGCAAAUAUCAGUGAGCAAUGGUUACACUUUUUCAUGAUAUGAUGCAUAAGGAAAUAGAGGUGUAUGUUGAUGAUAUGAUUGCAAAAUCCAAAGCAAAUGAAGAUCAUACAACUAUACUCCAAAAAUUAUUUAAUUGGUUGAGAAAGUAUCAAUUGAAAUUAAAUCCAUCCAAAUGUACAUUUGGGGCAACCUCGGGAAAACUGUUCGGAUUCAUUGUCGGUGAAGAAGGGAUCAAAGUAGACCCAGAUAAAGUGAAGUCUAUCAUGGACAUGCCAUCCCCUGAAACAGAAAAAGAAGUUCGAGAUUUUCUUGAAAGACUAAAUUACAUAUCCAGAUUUAUCUCGCAUUUAACUUCAACCUGCGAACCAAUCUUCAAGCUUUUACGUAAAAACAAUCCAAGAAAAUAGAAUGAGGAUUGUGAAGAAGCUUUCAACAAAAUUAAGCAGUAUUUGCAGAGCCCACCUGUAUUAUAAUAAGCCAUGGUAUUUUGAUAUCAAGCAAUACAUAAAUUGUAGAGAAAUAUGGAGCUUCAGAGAAUGACAAGCGCACAAUAAGAAGGUUGGCCAUGAACUUUUUCUUAAGUGGUAAAGUUCUUUAUAAAAGAAACCAUGAUAUGGUACUCCUUCGAUGUGUUGAUGUGGAAGAAGCAAAACAAAUUAUGACAGAAAUUCAUGAAGGAAUAUGUGGAACACAUGCGAACGGACAUAUUAUGCCUAGACAAAUACUUAGAUCUGGUUAUUAUUGGACAACGAUGGAAUCAGACUGUAUAAAAUAUGCAAGAGAAUGUAAAAAGUGUCAAAUUUAUAUGGAUAAGAUUCAUGCAGCAGCAUCUCCAUUGCAUGUCUUGUCAGCACCAUGGUCGUUUUCUUUAUGGGGAAUGGAUGUUAUUGGACCUAUUGAUCCUAAAGCCUCAAAUGAUCAACAUUUUAUUCUUGUGGCGAUUGAUUACUUCACUAAAUGAUUAGAGGCAACAUCUUACUGCAAUGUUACAAAAGGAGUGGUGCUCAAGUUUAUCAAAAAAGAGUUGAUCUGUCGUUAUGGUCUACCAGAGGGUAUUAUUACAGAUAAUACCAAGAACCUUAAUAACAAAUGAUGGACGAACUUUGUGAGAAAUUCAAGAUCAAUCACAGAAAUUCGACUCCAUAUCACCCCAAGAUGAAUGUGGCAGUUGAGGCAGUCAACAAAAAUAUUAAAAGAGUUAUUGAGAAGAUGACAACAACAUACAAAGAUUGACAUGAAAUUUUACCAUUUACACUGCAUGGAUAUCAUACAUCAGUUCGUACUUCAACAGGGGCAACACCAUUUUAUUUGGUUUAUGGUAUAAAAGUUGUCCUACCUUUAGAACUUAAGAUACCUUCAUUGAGAGUUAUCAUGGAAGCUAAGUUAUAUGAAGUUGAAUGUCGUUAUGAGCAGUUGAAUUUCAUUGAAAAAAAAAAAUGUUUGGCAGCAUUAAGUCACAGACAACUUUACCAAAGAAGACUAAUACGAGCAUACAAUAAAAAAUUGCACCCUUGAAGUUUUUGAGAAGGAGAUUUGGCAUUAAAAAGGAUAUUUUCAUUUGAAAAGGAUCAUCGAGAAAAAUGGACUCCUAAUUAUGAAGGUUCGUUUGUGGUGAAAAGAGUUUUCCAGGAGGAGCUUUGCUUUUAACCAAUAUGGAUGGUGUUAAGCUAAAAAAAUCAUGUGAAUUCAGAUUAUGUUCGAAGAUAUUAUGCGUGAGGCCUUUUCAUAGAAAAUUUCGUAGUGUUGAAAGAAGUCAAGGGUAUUUAUAGGAAACUUACAUUUAGUUCUUAGAAUGUUAUUUCAUAUGUAUAAAUUAUCCCUUACCUCCUCUCUUUGUACUCCUAUUCCAAGAAUCGUUGUUAUCUUUUCAUUUCUUAUCAUAUUUAUCAAACACUUCUUUAUUUGUCAAUCCAUUCUUUCAUCUUUUUUUUUUAAAUAUCAUCAACUUAUAGUAAACAUCAAUUUAUUCAUUAGUCUAUUUGUUCUAUCUAUUUGUUAAUUAACAAUGAUUCAGUACAACUUAUUGUAUUUGCAAACCAAGUAAAAGCUAUGAUUUUCUCUUGUUAAGACUUAAGGAAUUGUAAGUGUUUACAAGUCCAGACAAAUUUCUCUAUGAUUGUGAGUUGCUGCAAUUGGAAGUCUGAAUCCUAAAGGAUUCAUGUUUUGUGAAGUCCAAGACGAAAACAACAUUAUGUCAUUACAACAUAGUACAAUCUUUCGCAGUUUGGAUUCAUUUGUUUGAUACGAAGAGAGGCGAGUUCUACAGCUUAAAAAGUUCUCGUGAUACAUGUCUUAUUCUAUCCUACGACGAUUAUGCAGAUAGAUUGUUAAUGGUAUUGGUAAAAUGGAGUAGUGAGCUAUUUAUUCCUUGAAAAGCAUAAUAUUUUUAAAUUAAAUUUCAAAUAUGUCUUAAAAGAAGUAUGAGUCCACUUUAUCAAAUCUAGCCCUAGAGCUAAGAUUGGUUUUUUUUUUUUUACAAAUUUGAUUAAAUCGAGCUCAGAUAUGAAGCUGAGGCCGAAGCUUGUUUAUCAGGUCCUUUCUCAUUUAUCAAACUUAGUCCUAGAGCUAAGGUUGAUGUUUUUCUUAAAAAAAAAAAAAUUGAUUAAAUCGAGCCCAGAUAUGAAGCUGAGGCCGAAGCCUGUCUAUCAGGUUCUUUCUCAUUUAUCAAACCUAGUCCUAGAGCUAAGGUUGAUGUUUUUUUUUAAAAAAAAAAAAAAAUUGGUUAAAUCGAGCCCAGAUAUGAAGCUGAGGCCGAAGCCUGUCUAUCAGGUCAUUUACUUUAUUUAUCAAACCUAGUCUUAGAGCUAAGGUUGAUGUUUUUUUUAUAUAUAUAUAUAUAUAUAUAUAUAUAUAAACAAAUUUGGUUAAAUCGAGCCCAGAUAUGAAGCUGAGGCCGAAGCCUGUCUAUCAGGUCCUUUCUCGUUUAUCAAACCUAGUCCUAGAGCUAAGGUUGAUGUUUUUUUUUUUUUUUUUUUUUUUUUUUCUUUUUCUUUUUCUUUUUCUCUCUCUAAAAAUAAAAAAGAUCGGCCAAAUACUUUAUCUAUUUCCUUUGUCCACCUUUAAAUAUUGACAGGAUGGACAAAGGGGGGCAAACUGUAGAUACCGUAUUUUGUCCUAUAUUUAUUUAUUAUAAAAGAAAAAAGAAAAGAAAAAGAAAUUAAAUUUGAAUUUGAAUUUGAAUUUGAAUCUUAAAUUUAUAUUUUAAAAAACAAUAAUAAUAAUAAUAAAUACAUUUAAAAAUAAAUAAUAAAAAUAAAAAUAAAAUGUUUGAUUUUCCUUCCUAUUUUUUCUCAACCAUCCCUUUUUCUUCGUCAUCACUCUCCCACUUUCUCCCACUCUAUCACUUUCUCCCACUCUCCCACUUUCUUCCUAUUUCUCUGUAGUCUGCACUCCAUCUCGUGAUCUAAAAAAAACGAUGGAGCUUGCCCUAUAAAAAGGAAAGAGGAAAAAAGAAAAGGGGAUCUUUUUUUUUUUAUUAUUGGAGGAUUUAGAAAGAGGGGAAGAGUGAAAGAAGAUCAAAAAGGAAUAACCUUUGGCAUUGAAGGGCAGACCUGCUGGUAAGUUUUUUCUUCUUUUUCCUCUUUUUAUUCUUAUUCUUGUUUAAUGAUUUUUUUUUCUUCUUGUUUGAUAUACUGCUUUUAAUUAUGAACUAUCGUGUUCAUCAUUUUACCAUCAUUUAACAUGUUAAUUUUAUUAUUUGUAUCUUUCUUAAUACUGAGCAUUCUACCUUCCAUUCUAUAUUAAAUUUUUUAUUUUUUAUUUUUAAAUAUUGAACAUUCUGUUCUGUGUUAAUUUCUUUUUAAUUGUUGGGUAUCCAUUCUGUGUAUCCAUUAUGUAUAUCCAUUCUGUGUUAAUUUUUAAAUAUUGAACAUUUUGUUCUGUGUUAAUUUCUUUUUAAUUGUUGGGUAUCCAUUCUGUGUAUCCAUUAUGUAUAUCCAUUCUGUGUUAAUUUUUAAAUAUUGAGCAUUCUGUUAUGUGUUAAUUUUCUUUUAUUACUGGGCAUCCAUUCUGUGUUAAUUUCUUUUUAAUUAAUUAGCAUCAUAUAUUUGUAUUUGGAUACUCAUUCUUCAUUGGCAUCCAUUUUACAGUUUUUGUUAAUUACUUUAUUUAUCCAUGUAUCCAUAUGGCAUACUCUGUUAAUAAUUACUGUUAUCCAUAUAUUAUCCAUGUUAAUAAUUAUGCAUGAUAUAAUUAAAUUUUGGCAACAACCAUUUUUCAUUUGGCCUAUUAAUUAAUUAGCAACUUGUAUGUGACAUUUUCACUCCCUCAUUCUAAUUAUUUGCAUGAUGUAUUAAUUAAUCAGUAUGCAUAUGUGGCUAUAAUUAUUUGAUAUUUAUUUUGGUGUGAUUAUUUAUUCGCAAUAUUAUUUAUUUGCAUAUUGGGCCAAACCUACUUUAGCAUUCAACUGUUAAUUAUUAUUUGAUAUCCAUUUGGCCUCGUUUAAUUAUGCAUUAAUAAAUUAUUUUGCAUCCUGCAUUAAUCAAUUAUUUUGCAUCAUUUUGAACUAAUUAAUUAUGUUGCAUGUGUUGUAUUAAUUAAUUAUCUUGCAUCCUACAUUAAUAUCUUUUACAUUUUGCAUAUAUUAUCAAUGUAUUUAUUUUAUCUCAGCAUAUUACACUUAAGUAUUUUUCAAAUUUCAUAAUGUUUUGUCAUUGUUAUUAUUUUUUUAUAAUAAUGUAAAUUGGAGAAAAAGUAUUGUUUUUUAUGGAUUUUAUAAUUUAAAAUCCAUAAAUACAUGAAAUUUUUCCGUUUGAAAUUUAAUUAAUAGAUUUUUUUUUUUAAAUUAACACAUUUCAUAUUUUAAAUGAGACUGAGUAGUAUUUUCUAUGAAUUUAUUAAUUCUAGAUAUAUGAAAUUUUUCAUUAAACACCUAUGAUAGAGAUUAAAAUAUCAAGUGUUGGUAUCUUAAUAUUCUUAAGGUGAAUAAAAAUAUUUUAAAACAAAAAAUAAACUUAAUUUUUCUAAUGGCUCCUAUGCCAGUCAUAAUCAAUCAAUUCAUGCUUAGGUUUUACUUUCUUCGAUAUGAAUUGAUAAACAUGGGACAUUUAAACAAAACCUAAAUAAAAAUUUUAUUUUGUGAACCUCUAUAAUUUAAUUUAAAAGAUAAAAUUGGGUAACCAUUUUUUGGGUGUUGUAGGGUGCUAACACCUUCCCUACACACAAUUGACUCCCGAACUUAAAUCUCUGAAUGUACGUAGACCAUUUUUUUUUUUUUUUUUGGUGACCAAUCACACCCUAAUAUGGUUGGUGGCGACUCCAAAAUUAUUUAUUAAAAUAAAAUAAACGGAGAGGUCGGCCGCUCCGCGUAGCGAUCACGUCGCGACACCAUUUAGAAAAUUAGUAGUAUUUAGUAACAUGGUUUCACAAAAAUUACGAAAACUAAUUCAAACAUCAAUUAAUUGAAUACAUGGAUCGUAUUAGCAACAUGGUUUCACAAAAAUUAUUACGAAAAUUAAUUCAAACAUCAAUUAAUUGAAUACAUGGAUCGUAUUAGUAACAUGGUUUCACAAAAAUUACGAAAAUGAAUUCAAACAUAAAUUAAUUGAGCAGGAGAGGAAAAAAAAAUGAAAAGAUGAAAACCUUGAGACGGUUAAGCAAAUUUCAAAAGACGAAUAAAGCAUGGAAAAUUACGGCUCGAGAAUCACAUAUUUAUACCUAAAAUGAGUCUGCAUGGAAAAUUACGGCUCGAGAAUCACAUGUUUAUACCUAAAAUUGCCGACUAUUGUUAAUCAAGAAUAACCAUAAUAUUCUAUAGGAAAAAUGACAUGUUUCGUUGAUUACUUCCCUGUAACAUAUUGGUUGGUUUUUGAAGGGAAUGGUAAAUAUUCCAUCUUAUACGAUUACACGAACAGAGUAGAAAAAAAAUUAUGACAAUAAGGUUACAUUUUCUAAAUUGUAAAAAUAAUAAAUUUAAAAGCCGACAACCCUUAUAAUUGUCAUAGCCCUAUGAUUAUCAUAUGAUAUUAUUAAUUUUUUAAUAUAUAAAAUAAUAAUAAUAAUAAAUGGCACGAGCUAUUUUUUAAAAUAUGUUUAUCUCCAAUUUUUCAAAAGAUAAAGUAGAACAGCUCAAAUUUGCUUUAUUCACCUCUCAAAAGUCAGAUGUGAAAAAAGAAAGAGAAGAAAAAACCUUAUGAUUCGUUUUCGUUUUCUUUUUUUUUGUUCUAAUUUUUCUAUAAAUAAAUUUCAUUUGAAUUUAGAUUUUAUGUUCCUAAUUUUUGUGUUUGUAUGUAUUUGGUUCAAUUAAAUUUUGUAUUUAAGAAGUGUAACAAAUUUGAAAAUUAACAUGAGAAUGUAACAACAAAUUAUUAGAUUUCUCAACUAAAUCUAUAAGUUUCAAAGGUUUAUCUUCCACUUCCAUACUUUUUUAUGUACACCCAAUUUCUUUUUUUGUGGAUCAAUUAACACAUUCUUCAAACUUUAACAAAUAGCAUACAAAAUAUAUUAUUUUAAUUAAACUUCUAAUUUGAUUUUAUUGAGAUUACAUUUGAAAAUAGUUCAUGGGUUCAACUACUACACUUUAUAGGAGUUUAAUUGAUAAUAUUAUAAAAAUUGCUUAUUAUUUAAAGGUGUAAAUUGAUACUUCUACAAAAUGUCAAAAUUUAGAUCGAUACCAUUAUUAGUUCAGAUUUAAAAAUAAUACAACUCAAAAUUUAGGGAAUGAAAAUUGAUUUUUUUUUUCAUAUUAAAGUUUACAAAAUAGGGUAUUAGGAUGAUUUAUUCGAAUAUGCAUUAUAAAAAACUUAUAAAGGAUGACCUAUGGGAGAGAAAAUGGAGAAAUGAGAGUGUUGUGUUCAUCACUCGUCUUAUUGAGAAUUUUUUUCUGAUACUUUUUUUUUCAUUUAUUCCAUUUUGUUUAUUACUUUUAAGUUUGUUUGUUCUUUUUCUCUUCAAAAAGUUUAUUUUUCACGUUUUGUUUGUUCUUUCCUUUCUUCUUCCCUUGUUUCAUUUCUUCCCCUUUUGUCCAUAAUUUUAUCCCGCAGACUCUGAGAUUUACUGACGGCUUCCUUUGUCACUAGGGGCAUUUUUCGAUCCCCCUCCAGCAAGGCUGCAAUUUUUCUGAGCGUCGGAGCUAGAGUUCACCAUUUCGCAUUGCUACGAAACCAGCUUUCUCUCAGUGCUCUUCUAGGCAUUUCCUUGCAAGGCUUCGACUACUUAACUAAAACGACAAAAAAUUUGAAUUAAUUUGCCUUUGAAUGCUUGAGACUUUUGUUAUUGUCCUCUAUUUUUUAAUACGCUCUUCAACGUUUUUUCUUUGUCUCACUCUAUAUAAAGGUAACAUUAUAUCAUUCUUUUUUUAAAAAAGAAAAAAUUGCAUUUGGUAUUCAAAGUUAUAUAUAUGACUAGCUUUCAUUAUUAUUUUUGAUAAAUAUUCCACUACUAUUACUGUUGUUAUUACCAACUUAAGUGGGUUAGUCAUGACAUCCGUUUCUUGUUCCUUUCAACAACAAUGUUGAAGCUCUCAUCUUAGCAGUUUCGUAAACUAUAAGAUCCCUUAGGAAAAUGAAAAAAGUACAUUUAUGUAGUAAGAGACUGAAAAUACUGAAAAUAAAUUAGUGAAUAUUUUCCAAAUAUUCAACAUUCCUAUAAACGUAGAAAAAUUUUCCAUGAUGCCUAGAGGCUACAUCCAUGAGAAGGAGCUUCGAUCUUGAAGAAUUUUAAAUGAGUACACCAUUCUUUCUUUUCUAGCUCUGUAAAAAUUAUUCUAUGUUCCUCUAAUAUCUAACUUUACAUUAUAUGAGGUAUGCACCUUUAAAACAUUAUGUUCCUCGACUGUUGCUGAUCCUAACUUCGCUGCUGUUGCUUCAAUCCAAUAGCUAAAAUCUGACAACUUGGCAGCAUAGUCUUCAGUGAGGUAUACUGAAGAAGAACAAAGAUGUCUGUGUACGACGGGCGGAUCAAGCUGGUGCAUAUGGUCUAAGCAGUAUCCUACUCCCAUUGCUAUUCUCAGUCUCAUAUCCCAGUCCAGGUGCUCAGAUUCUUUUACUACAAGAGGGAUGAUAUCAUGAACUUUGGAAGAACAAUGCACAACUCUUCAACAUGUUUAUAAGAAAAAAAAUAAAGCACUUACUGUGGAGAUGCUCAAAGAGAGUUCCAUUUGGAGCAUAUUCAAAACCAUCAUCCUUGUGAAGGGCUGUGCUUCUUAACAAAACCCGAUAAGAGAGAGAGAAAACAAAAAAACAAUCUUAUGUCUCUUUCUUUUUCCCUAUUUUUUAGAGAGAAGAAAAAAAGACCGAAAGGCUUUUUUAAAAAAAAAUAACAAGGAAGGUAAAAGAAAGUCAAAAAAUAAUAGAAAAAUUCAUAUACGUGUUUCUUAGAGAGAAAAGAAAGAUUCAAAUCCUAAAUAAAACUACUCGUCGAUGAGGUGCAGAUCUUUGGGAGUAAAUUCUUACAUGAGAUUUGAUUUUCUAUAGAGGAACAAAAAAAAAAAAAAAAAAAAAGUAAAAACACUAACGUAAUGAAAUGAAUAAGAAAAACACACAUUUUGGAGAGAUUUUCUCUAAAAAAAAUUCUUCCUACAUACUCACUCUAACUAAUUUUUUUCCUAAGCCAUUUUCUUUCUCAAAGAAUAAUUCUUUUUUUAAGAAACUCUCCCCUUUCCAAAUUAGAAGGGUCCCUAUUUGUAAACUUGAGUUGUAGCACAAAUUAGGAAAAAAAAAAUAAGAAUAAAAUCAAAAUUUGAUAUUACAUUAAUAAAAUAAAUUUUCAUUUUCCUAAAAUAAAUUAAAUAAGAUAUUUUGAAAUUUUGUGAAAAUAAAUUAAUAAAUCAAAUGGAUAUUAAAAUAUUUUUAUUUAAAAUUGAUUUUCUUUUUUUCCUAAAAUGAUUUAAUUAAGUCAAACGUGAUAUUAGAAGAUUUUAUUUAAAACAAAUUCAUUUACUUUUUCUUAAGGUAGUACAAAUAAGAUAAAUGUGAUAUUAAAAUAUUUUAUUUAAAAUAAAUUGAUUAUUUUUAUUUCCUAAAAUAAUAAAAAUGAGAUAUUAUAAGAUAUUAUGUUAUUACUAAUUUUUUACCUUUUUUUAAAAAUAAAUAAAUAAAACUUUAGCAAUUAUUACUAAUAUUAUUUUAUUUUAAAAUAUGGGUAGGAUAAAAAAAGGUGACUACAUAUUCAUCUAACAAAUAUCUAAUUAAUUCCAAUAUCACAAAAUCAAAUUAUUCUCAUUAUGUGAAAUGAAAAUAACGUCCAAUAAGUUAAUUCUAAUUAAACAAAAAUAAGAUAAUUAUCUUAGUUUUUUGGGGUGGUACAAUUGUUCUGUGCACAAAAGUCAUGUGAUGAGGGUAUCCAUAGAUGGCUAGAGUUUCCAUCACAUAGACUAGAUCGAGAUGAAGGCCUCUAUGGACACCUACAUUUUUUCAUAUCAUAAUAGCUUCAAAGAGGUAGGAUACUACUGGCGCCUAGAGUUUCGUUUCGUCGAUACAUGAAAAGUCAAGGUAUAGCAAGAAGUAAAAGAGAAAGGUUUGAAAGUUAAGCUUGAGAAAAAGAAUUGCUUUGCUAACUUUACUUAUUGUUUAUAGUUUUUAGUAAACAUGUUUUGUUUUAAAAGUUGGUCACUCACGAGGUUUUAUAGCUCACCUUUAAAUUUUUUAUUUUUCUUAUAGGUAGAGAUUGUAGUUUUGACGCCUAACAUAAAUCUGCCUACUCUGCUAGAAGUUGGAUUUAAAAUUUUUUAGCACGACCUAUUCCAUUUUUGCGUUAUGAUGGUCUGUAGUUAAAAUUAGUAUUGAAUAUAUAGUUGUUGUGGCUGUAAUAGAUUAGUAAGAAAUACUUGAACUGAGUUCGUAAAGCUAUAGUUUUAUAUUGUUGAGGAUUCUGAUUUCAUUUAUGUCUACAUAAGAGACUUGAGUAAACAAGUUGUCCAAUUGGUUGGAUGCUAAAACUAUUAUGAAGUCUUAUAUCUUUAGGUUUUAGAUGUUUUUCGCAGUGUGUAUGUUUACAAAGAGAUAGUUUAGAUUCAAGUUAAGGGCAGACAAGUAUUAUUAGAAGAAGAACCAUGUCGAUCGGCUUCACGCCUCUUUCUCGGGCUUAAUGAGGAGAGGCUCCGGGAUGGGGUGUAACAAGUAAUGUAACGAACAAGCUUCCAUUCACUCUAAAAUACACUCUUUUAGAAUACCUUCAAAUUGUUUUUUGGUAUUAGAGCCACAAUGGCUUACAUUGAAACCAAAUCCUUCCCAAAGAAACCCAACUAAAAGAAAACUCUAAUCUUCAAACAUCAACCAACGGAGCUUAAAUGAGCAAAACCAUGGAUGAAGGUAUUUGUUACCAAGUUUGAUAGCAUCCCUAGCUUCACCUACCUAUUCAACCAAGCCACCUCCAUAAAAUUAGAGAGAGGUAACUUCCUUUUGUGACAAAGCAUUGUUCUUCCUAUUCUGAAAAGUUAUAAGCUCAAAGGCCACCUAACUAGAACUACACCUUGCCUAGAUCACUUUAUCAUCAUUCCACCUUGUAAGGAUGAACCGGAAGUGCUAUUGCUGCUCAAUAGAGAGCAUGUUAUAUAGAUUACUGCAGACCAGUUACUUGUUGGUUAGCUCUGUAACUUGAUGACACCGGGAGUUGGCCACACAAGUUAUAGGACAUGAUGAAGCAAAACCCUUGAGGUAUGAUAUUCUAGAGUACUUUAAAGUUCAAUCCAGAUCUCAGGAAGAUCAUAACCGACAACUUCUUCAAGAAACUUGCAAAGGUACAAUGAGAAUGUUUGGUUAUUUGUCUACAACGAAAACUUAUUUUGAUAAUUAGCAACUUGCAAGAUAUCCUAUGGAUAUGAGAGGUUGUAUUUCUUAUGUUGUUGGUAGGCUUGAUCAUGAAUACAACCUAAUAAUAUGCGUUAUAAGAAGUCAAUAAAUCUCUUAGAGCAAGAUACAAUUUAAGUUGUUAUCUUUCAAACAACGUUGUAAACGACUUCAAACCUAUAAGAAUCUGUUCCUAUGAAUGUUGCCCAAGUUGAAAAGUCCUCUUCUAACCAACCCUAUAGACCACCUCAGUAUCCACCCAAUCGAGAAGGAGAAGACAAUAGGUGAAGAGGAUGAAAUUCACCUUCCACAAAUCGUCCCAUGUGCCAAAUUUAGGUGAAACUUAGGCACAUUACUAUUAUUUUCUACCAUUAGUAAGACAAGAUGGAUAACAAUUUAACUGCAAGUAAACCACCAUCUACCAACCGUACUUCACCAAAACCAAUUUUUCUUCUUGCCUACCCUAAAACUCUCCAAGAUCCCACUUGCUAUAUGCACAGUAGUGCAACCAAUCACGUUACAUCUAGCUUAGGUAAUCUCUAUUUCCAACACGAAUAUUUUUGGAAUUUAGAUCAUAAACUCGUAGUUUGUAAGUUUAAAAUCAUAUUCUAUUCAAUAAAAUAGUUAUUAAGGAAUUAUUAAUGUAAAUGAAUACUAUAAUCUUGAAUUCAAUAAACUAAGGUCCCAAUGCUAUCUUGUAUGAACUUGAACUUUAUCUAGAGACAUGACAUCGAUCAAGUUUGAGUACACAACUUAAACGAUCUAUAAUAUAUGAAUAAGGUUGGACAUCUUAUUUUGAGGAUACUAUAAAUACGCCCUUUUGUAAUUAUUACAAACGGGGUGAUCCUAAAUCGUUCAUGAAGAGACAUGAAAGUGGGGGCAUCUAAAGAGUUUAUAUAAGACUGGAACCAUGAAAUAGUCACUCUUUUGUUAUAACACCAUUUAGUAUUUAAGACCAACUAUUUCUUUCUAUUGAUGACCUAGUUAACUUAAUCUUAAUUCUAAGUUAACUAUGAACUCCUGUUCACACGUGAUUAUUCGUAGAUCUGCAUUAGUUGGAAACAUAGGGUGCAAAACAGAAUUCACUUCUGAUCGUUUUAGAAUUAGUAGAUAAGUUAUUUCCUAAUGUUCUGAAUUCUUGGUCUUGAACAAGGAGCACCACGCUCUCAUUAAUAUGAAAGGGAUUCGUUUUAUAAGUUGGACAUGAAACCAACUAUUCAUUAGAAGAUCAAUGGGACUUAAGGAGCAAAAUGUAAUAUCUAAGGUAAAACAGUAAUUUAACCCAACCGAGAUAACAAAGAACCUGUGAAGAAUUAACUAACUAAUCAUGGUUAUAUCAGAUGGACACAAAUAUAUCUAUAGAGAGAGGAGUAAAACUACGAGACUUUAGUAAAAUGACCCAUGUUUUAAUGAAUGUUGAUUAGCUCAAACUAAAAAAGAUUAGCCAAUUAAUCUUAGAUCAUUGGAGUCUAUGAUCUAUAGGUUCAUUAGGUUCCUCUACUAGCUCAUAUAGAAUAAACUUAUAAUGAUAUGUUGAAUUAAUUUGAAUAGUUCAAGUUAGUAAAGGAGAAAAAAAUUGACAAGUAUAUAUGAUAUAACUAUUUGUUACCAUUUAAGAGAUAAAGUUUCAUGUUUAAAUGUGAUUUGAAUAUAAAAAAAAUAUGACCGAGGAUUCAUAUUCGGAAGCUAAAAAAUGAUGGAAAUUGUCAAAGUUGUAAAAAGAUAAAAUGUUGACUUUUGACUAAGAAAUGUCAAACUUUGAGUGAAUCUAUAUUCAAAUGUGAUUUGAAUUUUGAAAAAAAUGAAAGUAGAUUUAUGCUCCGGAGGUUGACAUUUGUCAAGGAGGAUAAAAUGGUAAAACAUCAAAAUGUUGACUUUUGGUUGGAAAAGUUAAAGUUUGUUAACUAAUAUAUGAAAAGACCAUGAUGUCCUAGUAGAAAAAUCCACCAUUUUGUUGAAUAAUUCCGUUAACUCCUAGUGGGGUAAGUGGUUGCAUAUGGUGUUGACACGAAGCCCACUAAAAAAUAGUGAAUUGUGGGGUGUUGAGGUAUUGUAAGGUGUUGGGCUCUCGGAACAUACAUAUAAACUUAAUUUCAAUUGUUCAAACACUUCUGAUCUUUUAUAAUAAUUCACCAAUUUUUUUUUAUUUCCUAACUUUCAUCCCUAUUCCAUCUUAAUCCUCAAAUUUCCAUCUCACUCUCAUUGUCUAUACUUAUUGGGUCCCACUACUCGAUUUUAAGUUGGAAGACUAGUAAGUCAACACUAGUAGUUUGGGUUUAGUUCGUGAGAAGAUAUGAGCAAUCUGGAGCUACGAAGGUAUAAUUUCUAUUAACCCCAUUUAUGUAAUUUAAUGUUAUGCAUGUUAAUUAAGUUGCAAUUGGAGUUUAAUUUCAUCUAAAUAAUUAUGAUGUGCAUGUCUAAAUUUCCAUCAAAUACACAAGUACAACCUUUGUGGUUAUUGGUAUUGAUUCUAAAUUAUCUAUUACUCAUUAGGAUCUGUUGAGAGGCUUGUAAAUUUGGAAAAUCACAUGAACUUCCUUUUCCUGUCUCUACUUGUCGUGGUGCUUCAUUAUUAUCAAAGCAGAUUCACUUCGUGUUUUUAAAUAGUUCAAGUCCUUGAUUAAGUUGCAAUUGAAUGCCAAAAUCCCAAAAGUGAAUGUAAUUUAGUAUAUAUUUGUAAACAUAUACUAUUCUGUCUCCAUUUUUAAUCCCAUCAGAAAUGAAUUGUCUUAUAUAAAGGGGUAUAAUCGUAUAAAAAGUAAAAAAAAGUCUACCUGCGACAAUUUUAUUAUAAAUUUUAAUAUUUGUAAGAUUUGUUAUAUUUCAAUUUGUUAUUUAAUAAUUUGUCAUUUCCGGUUAUCUUUUAUAAUAAAGGCUUAAUUUUUUUUAAAAAAUUGCAUACGAUAACAUUUUGAGAAUAUGAUAUAGCAAUUAUAGUACAUUGUUUUAGAAUUUUGUAAAUAUGACAAAAUUUUCACUUAUUCAUCUUAAAUUUGAUAUUAUUCCUAAACUACCCUUCAAUAACUUAUUUAUCUUUCUCUUUUUAAUGUUCUACUCAUUAUUUAUUUAUGCUUUCACUUUUUAAGGCCCUAAUUAUUUGUUUAUUCUUAUACUAGAAAAAUUAUUUAUUCUUUCUGUCUUAAUCUUAAUUUUAAAAUAUUAAUAGUACAAUAAUUGUAAUAUGAAUAAUAUAAUAUAAUGAUCGUUGAAUUGGAGUAAUUUAACUUCAUUUGUGAUUAAUUUUUACUUUCUUCGAUGUGUAUUUUAAGUUAAAUUUGAUUUCAAAUGAUUUUGUUUUAUUUUUUUACAUUAUUUUUUUAGUUUUACUUUGUCUUAGUUUCGUAUGUCAGUGUUGUGAUAUACUUAUAUUAUAUGUAUUAGUUGGUUAAUAUACUUACUACGUGAUUUUCAUUUUUUCAAAUUUUAUGCAGUUCAUUAGAGUAUUGUUAAGUGUAUGAAUGAUGUACCUCAGUGUAUCAUUAUCAAGUAUAUUAACAAUAUAUUGUUAAAUCAUAUCAGUAAAGUGAAUCAUUAUCAAGUAUAUAAAUCGAGUUUACAAGUGUAUAUCAAUAGUAUAUCAAGUGUAUAAGUAGGACUUCAAGCAUAUCAAGUGCAUUUAAUCAAUCAAUUGUAUAAGUAAAGAGUAUUAAAUGUAUAUGCAGUGUAUCUGGUGUAUCAAACAUAUAUUAGUAUGUUUCAGUAUUAAGUGUAUCAAAGAGUAUCAAGUGCAUCAAAUCUAUCAAUCAAAUGUAUCAGGUGUAUGAACAAGUAUCAGGUGUAUCAAGUAGUGUAUUAGGUGUAUCAAACGUAUAUUAGUAACGAGGGCAUUUGUGACAUUUUACCUUUUGAUGUGUGGGUUAAUCUUUGUUUUUGCCAUUUUCGCAAAUAAUAAAAAUGUGUGUGGUAUAGACUUAAUUAUUAUAACUUAUUUUUGUUGGAAGCUUACAACGAACACCUCAAAUAGAUAAUUACCAAAUAGAAUAUUUAAGAAGAAAAACAAACUUUAUUGAAAGACUCUAACUCUUGGAUAAUUUAGAUUACAACAUUUCAAUCCUAUUUAUAGGAUUUUCAUGAGCAUAACUCAUACCACAAAUUAAACACAACAUUUUAAAACUUACACUUAAUUAAUAUGAAAACUCAUAUUAAAUUAACUUUAAACAUUUUAACUCCCAACCUUUAACUUUUUCUAACUCUCAUGAAUCAAUUCACAUCUAACUUAUUCAUUUAAAACAUGUUUAAUUUUCAACAAUUUUGGGAUUUUUGGAGGUGACCCAAGUAUUUAACCCCGGCCAAAAGUUAGGAAUCAAUAACUUUAAUUGCUAUUUAUAAAGUCAAUAACCCCAACACCCAUAGAAAAAGGAAUAAUUGUUAAUAUGUGAAUUUGAUUAACCGAUGAUGAACUGACCGAUCCUUCUCUAACUAUUUUUUUUUUUUAAAUAAAAUUUAAAAGCAAGUGUACACAUGAGCUAUUUAUAUGAUUUUAUAUAAAAGAUAUGACAAAUCAACUUUAUAAAAUAUCAAAAAAUAUGAAAAAGAAGAAAGAAAAAAGCAUUUUAUAAGAACCAAAGUGUAUGUUCAACAAGUGGGAGAUCAUAUCUCCACUUGGUGUAAUAAAGUAUUGAGGUUUGAACAGGAAUUUUGAAUGGCCCUCCUCCUCUCAAUAUGACAAUGGAAUUUUAUGAGAGCUCAAAACCCAUUACACCAAACAAGCAUAUUCCAUUGUUGCUCUAAUAAAAAGGAAGAAAAAAAAAAUGCCAAAUCUGAAAGAUGCCAAUUUCAUUUUCAAGAAAAAUACACAGAAAAAGAAAAAGAAAAGUUUCAUGAUCUGAUUUGAGGAAAAUUAUCAAAAAUAUCAAAUUUGACUAAAUAUUUACGGCAUGGAAAAUAUGGCCAUUGAUUUAAUAUUAAGAAUAAAAUGGCAGUUGGGUAUUAAUAAAAUGAAGAAUAUGAAAUGUUUGUACUUUUAAAAGUAAAGAUAAGAGUCAAACAACAAACCCAUAAGAUAUUCCUUUCCAAUAAUUUUGUAUUAGUCCUUUCCAAUUUUGGAUUACAAAUAUUGUUUUAUUAAAUAUCUAAAAUAAUUAAUGUUUUUGCUGUGAUUGGUAAGAAAAUUAUUAAAAACUCAGGGUUAUUUGCUUUACUAAUUUUGUUUUUAGAACCCCAAUUUAAAAUUGAUUGAUUACAUGUAAGGAAAUAAUUAUUGAUGCCACAAAGUAAAUUGAGAAAUUACCAAAAAUGAGAUUAUUUGGAUGGGUAUUGAGAGUUUUGAGAUGGUUUUAAAAAAAAAAGGAGACUUUUACUACAAAUAUGUUGUAAAAAGUCUAUAUUACUAUUUAAUUAAAAAACCCUAAAAAUUAACUUGGUGUAAUUUUCUCAUUUUCCUUCUCCCUCACGUUCUCUUCUUGUGUGGCUUUCUCCUUCUCAGCUCUUCUAUUAGGGCAAAGUGCAGUUCGACUUCAACUCUUCUCCUUUCUCAGUUGUCGUCGCGUUUCCUUCACCAUCGCCAACCGUUCAGGCCUCCAUGGUGGUUAGUUCGUAUGCGGCAUGCAAGAUUCUCCGUUGGAGAUGCGUCGAGAUUGGCGGCCUAUUUUCCUCCCUUUGAGCCUCUCAAGUUCACCAUUGCUCACUGUAUCUUCGGCGCUAGCAACAUCAUCAAAUUGCUUCUGGUACGUCCUUAAUCCCUAAUUUUCUUUUUCUCUCUUUCAAAUUUUGAGUGUUAUCUUCUUGUUUCUAGGUUUAGAAAUUAUGAAUUUCAUUCUGGAAAUUGAAAUUAACCUUAAAAACUUGAGGAAAAACCAUCUAAUUAGUUUGGAAAUUCUGUUUGAGUACUUGAAGUCAUCUCUGGCUAGAAUGAAGUUAAUACUGAAAUUGAUCAAACGAUAUCCUUAUAAUCUAUGAAGAAUUCACAAUCCUAUUCUGUUUGAUUAAUUUUGCUGGAUGAAAAUUUGGAGCUAUUAUAUUCAAGCAUCAUGCAAAUUAGUAGAAUAAAAUGAAAACACCCCAGCUGUUUUUGGAGUUGGAAUAAUGUAGCAUUUUUUAAGAGGUUGGGAGUGAAAUGAUGACUUUAGAUGGUUGAGAUUUAAAAAGUGUCAUUUAAGAAAUUUUUGGAUGCUUUUGGUAGCCAUAGUGACAUGAACUUCUUGUUCUAAAAUGUGGUAAGGUAGCUAGCUCAAAAAUUUUAAAGCAUCAUUGAGUUGGAUCCAAGUUUAUUUGUUUUACUCUACACAUUUUUGUUUUGCAGUAUGCUCAAAUAAUGUACUGAGUUUCUUACUUCUCAGUCUCCAUCGAAGGUUCGUUAGCGAGCAGUAACUUAACAUGAUUCUUGGGGCGAUUGGUGGCUACAAAAGAGUCGUGGUGGGUCAUUACAAUGGUCACAAUACCAAUAUACCAAUAGACAACCUGUUAGAUUUGAUAUACACUAUUAGGAUGUUUUGUUUGUGGUCACGUUUUGUUUAUAUGAGGAAACUGUAUUAAUUUCAUUUUGUGCAUAUGUUCAUUUGUGUACCAAGUUUUAGUUUGCUGAAUAUUUAUAUGUUAGUUGUAUAAAAUAAGUUGGAAACUAUUAAUUAUAUCUAGUUGUGAUAAUGCAAAUUUCAAGUUAAAGGUUUUUUUUUGGAGUUAAUUGUAGGUUGCGUAUCAGGGGUCCCAAUGACCUGGAUUUUGAUGUUUUUAUUUUAGCAUACAAUUUUUUUUGGCGUUUUUUAGGAUUUUAUGUAUUACUUUUUUUUUCUUAUCAUCCAACAUAAAAACAUGUGCGAGAUAAAACAUGAGGGCUUAAUAAACUUACUACACAUGCAUAGAAUCACUAUAAAUAACUUAGAACGGGUAGCAAUUUGAUUGUGAAACUUAUAGUGAAAGUUUGAAACAUGCGAGAUGCUGCGAGAUAGUUUUGAGAUGCGUGUAAGAUAAAAACAUAAAUGCUUAAUAAACAUGCAUAAAAUCAGAUGAAACAGCUUCAUGAAGAAUUAGUCAAUAAUAAUGACGAUGAUGAAACUAUGGUAUAAUGUAAAAUCCGUACCAAUAACAAGGUUUGUUCUACGCACCUAUCUCGCACGUUUCAAACGUUCACUAUGAGUUUCACAGUCAAAUUGCUACCCCUCAUAAGUCAUUUAGAGUAAUUUUGUGCAUGUUUAGUAAGUUUAUUGGGCUUAAUGUUUUAUUUUGCACACAUCUCGCACCUACCUCUCACGUUUCAAACUUUCACUAUGAGUUUCACAAUCAAAUUGCUACCUCUCCUAGGUCAUUUAGAGUGAUCUUGUGCAUGUUUAGUAAGUUUAUUAGGCCGAAUGUUUUAUUUCGCACAAAUCUCGCACCUAUCUCGCACAUUUCAAACUUUAACUAUUAGUUUCAUAAUCAACUUUACAAGGGGAGGAAGAAGAGAUAGAGACAUAAUAAAUAAUGAUGAAAAAGAAAAAAUUGCCAUUACGUUUGUGAGAAGAAAUAGGUGUUGAUGGAUGGAGAAAAUAAAGGUGCCAUGGAAGGGAAGGAAAAAGAUAAAAGAAGAAAAUGAGAGAGAAAAUGGAAGGGAAAGAUAAAAGAAAAAAUUAAAGAAGGGUAAUUUAGACAAUUCAUCCUCAAUUUGUCCUAAAAAUCAAUUUUUUCAAAAUCAAUCCCAAAAAUCUUUUAUCCCUCUAUUUUUGGUAAUUUUCAACUAAAUUUAGUACUUCGGAGCAGUUUUCAAUUAAUUAUAUAUUAAAUCACUUAAAAUGAAAAUAAAUGAAUUUUUAUACAUCAAAUAUUAAUUAUGUUUUUAGUGUAACUACUACAAAUAUUUAAAUAAAUUCAAAUUACAUUAACCAAUCUUAUACCUUUUCAUUUAGGGGUUUUUUAAAAAUAUAAAAAAUUGGUAAAAGAUUUAUUUCAAAAACUGAAAAAGUCAAGAAGUCCAAAAUGAAAAAAAUACCAAAAAUACUCUAAUAAACACACCAUUAAUCGAACACAUAAACGUGAGUAAUCUUUUUCUAAACGAUCGUGUACUAUAGUCUAAAUAAAUGAUCUACAAUCUUUUAAGUCAUGAUACAUGAUCGUGUGUAGUUCUUUUUAAAUAUGGGGAAAAGACUUCAAUUUUAAACAAUCGUGUUAACCAUACUAAAUGACUGUGUUGACUAUGGUAGAUGAUCGUUUAGAGCAUAUCUACACGAUCGUGUAGUUCUUUUUUUAAUUGAUGAAAAAAAGGUUUCAAAUCUAAACGAUUGUGUGGACCAUGCUAAACGGUCGUGUUGACUAUGGUAAGCGAUCAUUUAGUUUAUAUCCACACGACUGUGUAAUUCUUUUUAGACAAUGGAAAAAGAGUAAAAUCUAAAUGAUCAUGUUCACCCAGCUAAACAAUUGUGUUGACAAUGCUAAGUAAUUGUUUAGAUAAUAUCAACACGAUCAUGUAGUUCUUUUUAAACGAUGGAAAAAAAGCUUCAAUUUUAAUGAUUUUGUUGACCAUGUGGUAAAACAUCGUGUUGACAAUGGUAAAUAAUCACUUAGAUCAUGUCAAAAUGAUAUUUAAACGAUAUUUAUAUUAUUGAAUAUGAGAAAUAUGAAAUAACUUCAAAGAAUCUUGUCGAAAACGAUAAAGAUGAAAUAUGAGAUUUAAACAUAAGAAUAAAUUGUUUAAAAAUAGCAGAAAGAAAAUCUAGAAGAGAUAAAUAAAUCGCAAAGAACAAAAAAAAAAAAAGUAACGAAUCGUCCGCAAUAUCCAAAAGAAAAAUCUGAAAAUUAUGAAAAUAUUCUACCAGUUUCAUGAAAUUUUAUUUUUUGUUACACAAUCGGUAAAUAUUUUUAUGUUUAAAAUUUGUUACGGUUAUCAAAAUUAACCUUUCAUUUACUUGUAUACUUUUUUUUUGUGAUUUUUUUUUUUUUUUUUGCUCAUGCGAGUUACAACACUGAUUUAGUUUUUAUAUUUUUGGUGUAUUUUAUAGUUACUAUUAAACUUUUAAUAGUUGUUUUUAUUUAUGUCAAUGAAAAUGAUGUGUGAAUUAGAAAAUUGUAGUUAGUUAUGUCAAUAGUUCAUAAAAAAGUAUCUAAUCGAUUUUAUUACUACUAUGUCAACAAUAUAUCAUAAUGGUAGAAAAAACUUAAUUUAUUAGAAAUCAUGCAGCUAGCAAAUGUAUUAACUUUUUUAAUACAAACAUUAUUGUAUAUGAUAUCAAUAAGCAAACAUAUUAAAUCUAUAGUCCAUCAACAUAUUAUCAGAUAUUAAUAAGCAAGAAUAUUAAAUGUUCCAAGUGUAUCACAAUACAUAAGAUAUAUAAGAAUCUUAUAAGACAUGUGUAUCAUUUAUCCACCCUUAAGUACUUAGUGUAUCAAUAUGAAAAGGUAAAAUAGUUCAUUUUAUUACAGGAAAAAAAAGGUCUACAAUAGCUAGCUAAAUACGUUAUCGCAGACAUUUUAUAGCAUUUUACAAAAAGUCAUGAUAGUCCACGCUUUUAAAACUCUAAAAUUUUAAUAGCGCUUUAUAAAAACUAUAAAAAGCAUACAUUUUGAAAAGGUUAUAAAAACAUCUUUGUAAUAGCGUAUCUUCUAUUUAUAUCAUUUAUGAUGGCGUUUUUCCAAAGUUAUGAAAAACCUUUUAUAGUGUCUCAUGAAAGCUAUAAAAACUGUGCAUUUUGAUGGCGUUUUGGAAAGGUUAUUAAAAUAACAUUGUAAUAGCAUUUCUUUUAUUUAUAUUAUUUAUAAUAGUGUAUUGUUAAAGCUUUUUAUAUUAUUCAUGUCAAGAAAAUCUAUUUAAAAAGCUUAUAAUAUAGAAAGAGUUCGUACCAUCAAAAUGUUAUUUUCACAAACGAUUUAUAUUGUCAUGUACCAAAUGCUUUUUUUUUUUUUCUCCUAUAGUGUCUAUAACCAACCAUUAGUUACAAAAAGGUAAUAUGAUAUAUAAAUGUAAAACACUUGAAGCUAAUUGUUGUGUCUUAGAAAUGAUAUUUUUGGGGUUUGUACAAUUGUUCUUUUAUCAACCUACAAAAAAAUUAUGAACAAAAACUAAAUGAGUAAUUAUGUUUAUACACAGAUUUUGGUAGAAAAAAGCUAGCUAGAAGUUAAUAGUUAAAGAAUAUACAUACUUAAAAUAACUUUGUCAACAGGUCAUGUUACUGUGCUUCCAACAACAUCCUCAAUGUAUAUCAUCUCUGAGUUAGGUCUCCAUAAAAAUGCAUAUGACUUCUUUGGCAAUUCCACCCGAACUCUAACAACAUGUGGACCGAGAGGAACAUGGUGAACAGUAACUUUAGGAUCAUUUGAGGAUCAUCGACCUUCAGCAACCACCACUUCUGUACCACCCCAAUCUAGCAUUGUGCACUUGCAAAGAGUAUUAUUGUUAUUAAUACUUUAUACCAACGAGGCAAUAUAAAAUGCAAUAUUAAACAUAAUGAGUAAGUUAUAACAAUUAGGAAUAAACAAUUACAGACCUUACCAGAGGUGAAGUUCCAAUCAGUUUAGUAGCAAUAUUGUUAAAAAUUUGAUCAUUUGUAGCGUUAGAAAGUUGGUCUCUUCCAUUACUCUAAAGUUAGAAAAUAGAAAAAUAAUGCAUACAAGUUAAACAAUUAGAAAUAAAGAGUAUAAACCUAUGUUAAAGUAUGCUACGAAACUUCAUACUUGUGAUUUAAGAAGGUGGGAUAUUAAAAGAUUUUAUUUGAGACAUUUCAACCUCCAUCUUCUCACACAUUUCUUUGAGUUUGACAUAUUGGCCAUACUUUUUAGAUAAUAAACAAAAAUUCGAUGAGGUGACUCCAAAUCCAAAUGCUCUAAUAUGAUCCCGAUUUGGAUCAAGAACUUUACUUAUUGUAUCGUUUGCCACAUUGUUUGAAGAAAUGUUUAUCCCUUCAUUGUCAAUCUCUUUGAUGUGCUCGUAAAUUGCAUAAAUGCGUAAAUACUCAUUUCUCUAAAGCCAACACCAACUAGUUUUUUCCACAACUCCCCUUCCCCGAAAAAAGAUAUCAUAAAGCAACACAUACUCAACAAAUGGUUUUAGUCAUUCAAAGAAGAUCUAGUACAACUUCACAACUCAACAAGUCAAGUAUUUGAUAUUCCCCCGACUCAUACAUUUCUAAAGCCAACAACAACUAAUGAAAACAUCUUUAAGCAUCCUUUUCAACCCCCUCCCCUCUCCAAAAAAAAAAUAAAAAUCAUAAAAGUAACACAUACUCAACAAAUGGUUUUAAUCAUUCAAAGAACAUCUACUACAACUCCACAACUCCACAACUCAACAAGUCAAGUAUUUGAUUUUUCCUAACUCACACAUUUCUAAAGCCAACAAAACCAAUGAAAACAUCUUUAAACAUCCUUUUCUACACCCCCUCCCCCUCCAAAAAAAAAAAAAAUCAUAAAGUAACACAUAUACUUCAAGAAAUGGUUUUAGUCAUUAAAAAAAAUAUCAGUAGUAGAACUCCAUAACUAAACAAAUCAAGUAUUUCUCCUAACUCAUACAUUUCUAAAGCCAACAACAACUAAUCAACAAAUGUUUAUUGAAUAAAAGAGAUUUUGAAACUUUACCAAUGUUUCUGCAACUUCCGAGUUAACGGGAGUUCCAUCUUUCUUCCUAUGUGCUCUAGUCCAUAGUUCGACCCUUGUCCCCGAUGAUGGGUCUGAACAAUUUUUUUCUUCAAAAAAUGCAAUGUAGUUAGAUAUAGUACUAAAUUUAACAAAAUCAUUAUAUUUUUAAUUUAGAAUAAUCAAUACCAUAUAUUCUCCCGAGCGAACUUAACCCUUACGACUACAUGCAUGUGGAAGUUGCCUCUUCAUCAAACACGUACAAAUGUAUUAAUCAUCAAAAGCAUUAAAUGUACGUAUGUAUCUUUUAAAACAAAUGGCAUUGACUUACCUUGAAUCUUGAACUCUUCUUUUCUUUCACACAGUUCAUCCAAUCUUGCAUAGAUUGUAUAUUGGAUGACUUCAUUUUACACAGUCAUUCAUUGUUAGAAGUUGAUUGAAUUUGUUUCACCACUCCUGCUCACCACAAUCUAUCCAUCUUUUGGAAAAAAUCUCCUUUUUGUCAAUCUUCCUUAGCAUUGUAUCUUAACUACAAUAUUUCAAAUAAUUCAAAGAUAAUGUUCAUAAAUAGGCCAAGAGUAAAAAAUAAUAGAAGAAAAUAAACAAGAAGACAAUAGAAAGAACAAGUAUGAAGAAAGCUAAGAAAGAAAAAAAGUAAUAAGUGCAUUAGAGUCAACAUAUCAUAAAUAUGAAUUUAAAGCAAAGCAAACGAGAACCCAAAAAUCCAGCUCUCUUCUCAAAAAGUAUAUAAACAACAUCAUAAAAGCAAAGGUAACAAGAACCCACACUUCAAAACAAAGCCAGUAUUGAAGCCACAAGGGCAUUUGGAAAAAGAGUAAAAGAAAGGGGUAUAAUAGAAAAGCAUGAGCAUAGUGAAGAAGAUAGCCCAAACAAAGAGAAUAUGAAUGAAAAUAUUUAUUGGGUUGCUGUGAUAUGCGCCCAAAAUGCCUCUCGGGAUCGAACAAUCCAUACCUACCCAUUGAAAUCAAUAAAUAAUCAAGUUGAAUGGAAGAUGAAAUUUGGAAGGAAAUGGAUACGAUAAAGAAAGGGAAGAACAAGUGGGUUUAAAUUUUAGAGAUAUGUUUGUCAAAAGAAAUAAUAAUUAAUUAUAUAGUUAUUAUUAAAUUUGUAAUCUAAAGAAACUUCAAAUAAUCAACAACAGAUAUUCAUGUCUAUUAAUCUUGUAUGAGGGCUAAACACUAACUCACUAAAACGAAUUAAUUGACAAAAUCAAAUUGAACGAAAUUAAAAUUUUAGAUUUCUACUAAAGCAUUGAUAUAAAAAACCAAAAAUGAAUCAAACCAAACAUUUGUAUUUCAAUUCAUAUACCUCCAACUCCAUAAUUUUCAAUUUCAUUCAAUUUUGCUGUCUAAUGAGACCACCAAAAAUUCCAGGCUUGUAUGAAUAUGAAUGAAAUAUUAAAAAGAAUAUACAUACAUACAUGAAACAACAAAACAUUUCUCUUAUUUAAGAAGAAAAAACUUAUUUUAUUAAUUAAAAUAAUUUAUAAAAUUAACAUCUUGGCAUGGAUCCAUUGGUCAAAAGAAAUAAUAAUAUAUAAUAAUAGUUUGAGAAACAUGAAUUAUCAAUAUGAUUCUUAAAUAAGAUUGAUAAAACUUUAAAGGUUAGAAUUUGAGAGGCACCCAAUAGACAAUUCUAACCAAUUUCAGGUUGCUAAGUCAUUAGUUUUUCACAAUCAAAGUUUGUAAAGGCUUACUUAUUUACAAUUCACACAACCAACAAUCCAAGUUUUGUUUUGUUUUAUCUCUAGGUAAGAAACUGCACUUUCAUUGAGAGAAAAGUAUAUUGGAAGAUACAAAAAACAGAGUCCUCCCACAAACUAAUUGCAAAAAAUUCAAAUCAAGCUCAUAAUUAUAAAAAUGUUAGGUUACAGACACUCAUGAACGCAUUAAAACUAGCAACCUACUCGAACAUCGAACCCUUUUCUCACGACAACCUCCUUAAAUAAUCUACCAUAUUUCUCAAGACAUUAUACACACUAAACAAAAAAACAAACCUACUACAAAAUCCUGCCCUCAUAUCAAACUGGAGGAGUACCUCAGUCAUAAUACCACAAGUCAUGCCUCGAGCUAAACGUAAACCAAACGACCAAGGAACCUUAUGAAUUUAAUUAGUUGGUUCUCCCAU